GAUCUGAUCUGAUCUGCGAAAAUGGAAAUGUCAGUCGAGGCCUGGCAAUCAAUCUGGAGGAGAUCUGGCCGAAGCAGAGGAUCAGGGGGGGAAGAGGAGGGAGACGAACGCAACGCAACGCAACUAAGCAAACGCACCUCAAGCUCAAGGAGGUGAGGGAGGGUGCUCUGCUCUGCUCUGCUGUGGUGUUGUGUGGUGAUGAGAGGAGAGUCUGCCCUGCCCCCCUUCUUAUAGCAAUAGCAUCGGCCGCCGGUGCAGGGCAGAGGAGGAGGAGGAAGAAGAUGAGAUGGGUGUCGCUGACCUGGCCUUUGCCGGGCGUGGCCGGCGUCAAUCAAAAUCUGUCUGACUAUGAAUCACGCGCCUCCACGUGGGAUCAAGAGGCCACGUCAACGCCAAGACAUGCUAGCACAGUUUUUUUUUUUUUUUUUUNNNNNNNNNNNNNNNNNNNNNNNNNNNNNNNNNNNNNNNNNNNNNNNNNNNNNNNNNNNNNNNNNNNNNNNNNNNNNNNNNNNNNNNNNNNNNNNNNNNNNNNNNNNNNNNNNNNNNNNNNNNNNNNNNNNNNNNNNNNNNNNNNNNNNNNNNNNNNNNNNNNNNNNNNNNNNNNNNNNNNNNNNNNNNNNNNNNNNNNNNNNNNNNNNNNNNNNNNNNNNNNNNNNNNNNNNNNNNNNNNNNNNNNNNNNNNNNNNNNNNNNNNNNNNNNNNNNNNNNNNNNNNNNNNNNNNNNNNNNNNNNNNNNNNNNNNNNNUUUUUUUUUUUUUUUUUUGGAAACUACGUAGGAGACUCGAUCCGAACUUGAGAAGUGACUUUGUGUGCAUGUGGGCUCGGUUUGGGUACAGUGCUCACUUUUUUUUUUACCGUAUGUACUUCCUCCGUUCCUAAAUAUANNNNNNNNNNNNNNNNNNNNNNNNNNNNNNNNNNNNNNNNNNNNNNNNNNNNNNNNNNNNNNNNNNNNNNNNNNNNNNNNNNNNNNNNNNNNNNNNNNNNAUAUAUAUAUAUAUAUCAUUGAAGAAAUAUCCCUCACAAAUUUUGCAUUAUGGAUAGUCAUGUAAGAAGAAUACCUUCAAGACGACAUGAUUUAUGAAAAUAAUUAUUUCCAUUUAACAUUCUAAAAUUUCGUUUUCAGGGGAGUUGUUAACAAAUUGAUGAACGUUUGCAUACCACAACUGAAGAGAUGUAUUAAGCGAUUCUUAUAUAACAAAGAUUCAUUACAACUUUGUAAGAUGAGUUCUUAGUAGUACAUCAUUUGCUUGUAUCAUUAUCCUUCCCAUCCAGCCACGGAAAAUGGCGGAACCGUUUGUGGUGAUAUGUUCUCAAAUAGCGAAAGGGUGAUAUCUGACAAUUGAAGGGAUGGACUUAAAUGUACUUUUGUAACAUGGAUACAUUACAAGAUGACCGCUUACAUCAUUGACUCCAAAUUAGACAUAUAUAUUCAAAUACAUAACCGCUCUUAAUAUUUCAUCAAUUAGGUAUUAACGACAAGCCGUCUCUUGUAACUAACCAUCACCCUUCCUUUAGGCCCUGCUAUGAUUUUAUCAACUUCUUCCUCUGGGAAAGGAGAAAGCAUUUUUAACUCAAAGUUCCGCAGCAGGCAACUCCAUAUCACUUUAAUUUUCAUGUAAGCAUAUUCCUCCCCAAUGCAAGCAUGCCUGCCACCACCAAACGAUGUGAAUGCGAACUUACCACCAAUUUUGUCCUCCUCUCUCCCUGGACCAAAACGGUAUGGAUCAUAUACAUGAGGAUCUUUAUAAAUAUGUGGCAAUUGAUUGCCAGCAGCUAUAGAGGUCGCCACGGUAUGUCCUUCCGGAAUCUCAUAUUUGUAGCCUUCUCUAGUUUGUACAGCAAACUUCUUCUUCACACUGCGGAACAUCAUUACCGCUGGAGAGUGCAUUCUUAUUGCCUCUUUGAUGCAGCAAUGUAAGGUCCCCAUCUCUGACAAGAUGUUGUAAUCUAUGUGUUGUCCGUGUUGUCUAAUGAUUUUCUGUUGCUCUUCUAUAGCAGCUGCUAAGUACUUCUCAUGGCUGAUCAGACAAGCUCCCGUCCAUGAUGCGGCGCUCGAGCUCGUGUGUUGCCCAGCAAACAACAUGCCAAUGAGUAGCCCAGUGAUCUCACUCUCAGACAUGGAGCGGCCAUUCUCCAUGCAUUUUGAGUCUAUAAAUUUUUGUAGCACAUCAUCCUCGACUUGCCCUGAGAUUCUACGUGAUCUCACUAUCUCAUGGAAUAUUUCUCCCAGCUUGGCGCGUGCUUUAUCACGCCGACGGUUGGCUGGAAUUGGGAUAUUUGGGAAGAAAAGGGUGGUCAACUGCGUGCCAUUUUCGAAGAGAUCAUGGAAAAGCUUGGUGACUUCUUGGAACAUUUUAUCACGGACCUCUUUUCCAAGCAAGCAUCUGCUUGCAAUCAACAUGACUACCUCCCCAAGCUCAUGCUUUAAAUCAAUUAUGCCAUCUUGUCCCCAUUUUCCGAAGUAGUCCUACAAAAUGGGGGACCGUCAUCUGAAAUGAGCCAAUCAUUCGCUGACACAGGAAAUUAUAUUGUGUAACUUAGUUAAACCUAAUCUCGUGUCUACUUAAAACAAGUUGAUAUAUUCAUUAAAAGUUCAAGUAAAGAAGCCGUCACAAAGUACUUCUUUAGGGAAAAUAAGGUGAUUGUGCUGCUCUCUUCCAAGGUGGAUUCUUAAACACAGAAUUCUGCUGGCAUGGCAUACUGAAGUAUACAGUAAUAAAAAAACACGCUUGGUUGAACCAUAGAAAAAUUGCAGAAACUUUCCCAUUACAACCUGCAUGUCAUAGUUUCAGGAAAAGAAAAGAAAACAAUCCAUGAAGUUGGGUGCAUUAGAAAGUUUGAUUUGGUUUGCAUGCAAAUUUGAUCAUCAGAAUAGUACAUCUAAUCAUACAAACAAAACAAGCUCUAUAGAUAUUUUUUUUUCAAAAAUAUUAUAAUCCUUCAAAAUUCCGAUGGAAUUCCUUGGAACCGAAGAGGCCCUAAAAGGUGACAUACUUGUCGUCCCAACCAGAACCAGCCCAAGAGGCUACUUGCUCACAUAUCCACCAUCCAUUAAUCCAAACUUGAAAAAAUUGUGCCCCCUAUAAAAAUUCUUAUACUAUUUAAUGUCCGUGCAAGAUGCACUGUGCCCAUUUUGUGGACCUGCGUGUGUUCACCUUGAGACUUUGAUAUAUUCAAAGAAGAUACUACCUCCGUAAAUAGUGAUCUAAAACGUUUUAUAUUAGCUUACAUAGGGAGUAGUACGUAGAACUGUGGAUUUAGUGUUUAAUGUAUGUUAGUUGUGAACAGAUAAAUUUGUGCAAGAAAUAUGUUCAUUCCUAUGUUGCACGAAAACAAGAUCUUAGAGUCCAGAAUCACUAUGCUAUGCAAUAUAAACAUUAUAUACCCAGAAAGUACACAUAAGUGGUAUAAUAAAAAUAAAGUAAAUACAAUAACAAAAAUAGUAACAAUAAAAAUAGAAUAGUAACAACACCACCACCAAGAACAACAAUGAUAAUAACAAUAAUUGAUCGGUUGCUUACCUGUACUUCUCGAACCAUAUAAUCAACUUUGCUUCUCAAUAGUGGUGUCCUCAUUGCAUCUAUACCGAACCGCAUUUGUCUGUUUCUGGUUGCAAAGUCUGCAUCAAGACUAACGCCUUUGCCGAAAAUAGGGAUAGUGAAUUUAUACAUAUCUGGUUGGCAUAUUUCGGAGUGUGUGCCUUGAAAGAAAUGAGAUGUGACCUCUGGUCCAAGCAAUAAAGUCACAUUCUUCAGGCCAAAUAAAUUUAUUGUGAACACACUGCCCAGCUUUGUAUGCAGGUCAUGGAUUACUGGUUGUAGGCCCUUGGUCAGAAUCAUGGGCAAAGAUGAUACAAGAGAAGUGCCACUCACAACAGGUGGCUGGAGUGGUCCCUUUUUCUGUGUUGGAGCAAUAAUUCUUCUUACAAUAAUUUUUGUGAUAAUCAUGGUGAGGAAAAAUGCUGAUAUAGUGUAACAGACGGCAGUGGGAUUUGGUAGACCCAUUUCGGUACAAAUGGGCGUAACGUUGUGGAGCAAACAAGCCUGACCAAGAAAACAAUGAUAAAAGCUAAGACAAACUGAAGGUCAUAUAUAUUACUAAAAAGAACAUAAUACUAGUUGAAAAACAUGUAAGUAAAAAAUCAUCAAUUGCUAUACGACACAUGGUUAAUGAACUUGUGACAAAAUAUAAUGUACNNNNNNNNNNNNNNNNNNNNNNNNNNNNNNNNNNNNNNNNNNNNNNNNNNNNNNNNNNNNNNNNNNNNNNNNNNNNNNNNNNNNNNNNNNNNNNNNNNNNCGCUGUCCAGUGAUCCACUCCUGGAUUACUCUGGAACCUACCUGCCAUACUUAUGGCCAGGCUAACAUCCGGUCUAGUGCACAACAUCGCAUACAUGAUAGAACCUAUGGCUGAAGAAUAGGGGACGGAGCGCAUAUGCUCUCUAUCUUCAUCAGUUGCUGGGCACUGAGUCUUACUCAAUCUUGUACCUUGUAAAACUGGCAAGAACCCUUUCUUGGACUGUUCCAUUUUGAACCUCUUCAAAACUUUAUCAAGGUAUGUGCUUUGUGAAAGUCCUAUNNNNNNNNNNNNNNNNNNNNNNNNNNNNNNNNNNNNNNNNNNNNNNNNNNNNNNNNNNNNNNNNNNNNNNNNNNNNNNNNNNNNNNNNNNNNNNNNNNNNNNNNNNNNNNNNNNNNNNNNNNNNNNNNNNNNNNNNNNNNNNNNNNNNNNNNNNNNNNNNNNNNNNNNNNNNNNNNNNNNNNNNNNNNNNNNNNNNNNNNNNNNNNNNNNNNNNNNNNNNNNNNNNNNNNNNNNNNNNNNNNNNNNNNNNNNNNNNNNNNNNNNNNNNNNNNNNNNNNNNNNNNNNNNNNNNNNNNNNNNNNNNNNNCAUAGAGAAACUUUUAUUCAAGUAACCUUUUAUGCUCUCCAAAAGCUCUACGUUGUUUCCAAUCAGUAAUAUGUCAUCCACAUAUAAUUUUAGAAACGCCACAGAGCUCCCACUCACUUUCUUGUAAAUACAAGAUUCUCCAACCACUUGUAUAAACCCAAAUGCUUUGAUCACCUCAUCAAAGCGUUUGUUCCAACUCCGAGAUGCUUGCACCAGUCCAUAAAUGGAUCGCUGGAGCUUGCACACUUUGUCAGCAUUUUUAGGANNNNNNNNNNNNNNNNNNNNNNNNNNNNNNNNNNNNNNNNNNNNNNNNNNNNNNNNNNNNNNNNNNNNNNNNNNNNNNNNNNNNNNNNNNNNNNNNNNNNNNNNNNNNNNNNNNNNNNNNNNNNNNNNNNNNNNNNNNNNNNNNNNNNNNNNNNNNNNNNNNNNNNNNNNNNNNNNNNNNNNNNNNNNNNNNNNNNNNNNNNNNNNNNNNNNNNNNNNNNNNNNNNNNNNNNNNNNNNNNNNNNNNNNNNNNNNNNNNNNNNNNNNNNNNNNNNNNNNNNNNNNNNNNNNNNNNNNNNNNNNNNNNNNNNNNNNNNNNNNNNNNNNNNNNNNNNNNNNNNNNNNNNNNNNNNNNNNNNNNNNNNNNNNNNNNNNNNNNNNNNNNNNNUUGCUAACAUGAUUCUGACGGACUUAAGCAUCGCUACGGGUGAGAAGGUCUCAUCAUAGUCAACUCCUGGAACUUGUGAAAAACCCUUUGCCACAAGUCGAGCUUUAUAAACGGUCACAUUACCGUCAGCGUCCGUCUUCUUCUUAAAGAUCCAUUUGUUCUGAAUAGCCUUGCGGCCNNNNNNNNNNNNNNNNNNNNNNNNNNNNNNNNNNNNNNNNNNNNNNNNNNNNNNNNNNNNNNNNNNNNNNNNNNNNNNNNNNNNNNNNNNNNNNNNNNNNCACCUCCGCGUUCAGCACACGUACAGCUCGACGAUGAUCUCGGCCUUCUUGAUCCAGCAAGAGAGACGGAGAGGUAGAAGAGUUCUCCGGCAGCGUGACGGCGCUCCGGAGGUUGGUGAUGAUCUUGUCUCAGCAGGGCUCCGCCCGAGCUCCGCAGAAACGCGAUCUAGAGGAAAAACUAUGGAGGUAUGUGGUCGGGCAGCCGUGAGAAAGUCGUCUCAAAUCUGCCCUAAAAGCUCCAUAUAUAUAGGAGGAGGGAGGGGGACCUUGCCUUGGGGUCCAAGGGACCCUCAAGGGGUCGGCCGAGCCAAGGGGGGGAGGACUCCCCCCCCNNNNNNNNNNNNNNNNNNNNNNNNNNNNNNNNNNNNNNNNNNNNNNNNNNNNNNNNNNNNNNNNNNNNNNNNNNNNNNNNNNNNNNNNNNNNNNNNNNNNNNNNNNNNNNNNNNNNNNNNNNNNNNNNNNNNNNNNNNNNNNNNNNNNNNNNNNNNNNNNNNNNNNNNNNNNNNNNNNNNNNNNNNNNNNNNNNNNNNNNNNNNNNNNNNNNNNNNNNNNNNNNNNNNNNNNNNNNNNNNNNNNNNNNNNNNNNNNNNNNNNNNNNNNNNNNNNNNNNNNNNNNNNNNNNNNNNNNNNNNNNNNNNNNNNNNNNNNNNNNNNNNNNNNNNUUUUCCUUUGAUUUUUAUUUCUAGGCGCAUAGGCCCACUUGGGGCUGUCCCACCAGCCCACUAAGGGCUGGUGUGUCUCCCCAAAGCCUAUGGGCUUCCCCGGGGUGGGUUGCCCCCCCCCGGUGAACUCCCGGAACCCAUUCGUCAUUCCCGGUACAUUCCCGGUAACUCCGAAAACCUUCCGGUAAUCAAAUGAGGUCAUCCUAUAUAUCAAUCUUCGUUUCCGGACCAUUCCGGAAACCCUCGUGACGUCCGUGAUCUCAUCCGGGACUCCGAACAACAUUCGGUAACCAACCAUAUAACUCAAAUACGCAUAAAACAACGUCGANNNNNNNNNNNNNNNNNNNNNNNNNNNNNNNNNNNNNNNNNNNNNNNNNNNNNNNNNNNNNNNNNNNNNNNNNNNNNNNNNNNNNNNNNNNNNNNNNNNNCACCAGCCCUUAGUGGGCUGGUGGGACAUCCCAAGAAGGCCCUAUGCGCCAUAGGAAGAAAAUCAAAGAGAAAAAAAAGAGAGGAGGUGGGAAAAGGGGGAAGGACUCCUCCUUCCAAACCUAGUUGGAUUCGGUUUGGAAGGGGAGGACUCCCCCCCUUGGCUCGGCCGAACCCCUUGGGGGUCCUUGGACCCCAAGGCAAGGCGCCCCCUCUUCCCCCUAUAUAUACGGAGGUUUUAGGGCUGAUUUGAGACAACUUUGCCACGGCAGCCCGACCACAUAUCUCCACGGUUUUUCCUCUAAAUCGCGUUUCUGCGGAGCUCGGGCGGAGCCCUGCCGAGAUAAGAUCACCACCAACCUCCGGAGCGCCGUCACGCUGCCGGAGAACUCAUCUACCUCUCCGUCUCUCUCGCUGAAUCAAGAAGGCCGAGAUCAUCGUCGAGCUGUACGUGUGCUGAACGCGGAGGUGCCGUCCGUUCGGCACUAGAUCGUGGGACGGAUCGCGGGGCGGAUCGAGGGACGUGAGGACGUUCCACUACAUCAACCGCGUUCUCUAACGCUUCUGCUGUACGAUCUACAAGGGUACGUAGAUCACUCAUCCCCUCUCGUAGAUGGACAUCACCAUGAUAGGUCUUUGUGCGCGUAGGAAAAUUUUUGUUUCCCAUGCGACGUUCCCCUACAGUUGCGCGAUCUAGGACCAUACAUAUAUACCUUAUUUUUGUGAAAUCCAUGCGUACUUACCAUCGAACUACUUUUUGUAGUGAAUAUAUAAGCAAUUUUGUGAUGUACAUACACCUAUAAAUUCAUGAACAUUAUAAUUACAUGAUGGUUUAUUUUAAAAAUGUUCGAACUAUUUGUGUGAUAGUCAUGAACGUUAAUAUUGAACUGAUAAGUACGAUCUUAAUUUGUGUUCCAUUCGAUGUAUGUGAAAGUGAUACAUAUGUGCUUUCUUAAAUAAAGUUAAUUUAUAGGUCGGCCUCGCUAGUAUCGAACGGCCCACCGAGAUGAUGCGUGAGUGUAAUUGCAAGUGCACGCCAUCAAUAUGAUGAGUCAAAAUCAAAAUUGAAUCAAAAUUAAAAUAAUAGAGCCGGUAGGCUGCUUCCAAUGCAAAGGUGCUAAGAUAUGAUCCUAGCCGUUUUCAUCUCUCAUCUCCCCACCCAAAAAAUCUCUCAUCUCUACACUUAAUCUAGCCGUUUUCUCACCGUAGUUCUAUUGUAUAGCCAAACCAUCCGUCUCACUCGCGGUGGGGUAGUUCUUGGUGAUGUUUUUCAACCUUUUUGGGUGGUGGUGGUGGAUCCAUCCUUUCGGCGGUGGAGGAGGCGCGGUGCCCCCGACUACCCGUGUUCUUCUUCCGAACGGCUCGACUUGUCGAUGCCCAUCCGGAUCGAGAGGAACGGCUCGACUUGCCGAUGCCCAUCCGGAUCGAGAGGAACGACGCGGUCAGAGUGGCGGCGCUGCUUUUCCGAUGAGGCCCGAGGCCCUUCCGGUGAUUUUCUUUGACAUGUCCUUUAGAGUUCUAGGUGGAGGGGACCUUUCUUUCUCUGUGAUUUCUGUUUACCGAAAAUAAUCUAGAUCCUAGCGUGUCUGAUACCAUUGAUAGUACCUCUAGGAUCGCUAGGCUAGAUUAGACCGAUGGGUUUACCUUCUCCUUGGUGCGAUGAGGUGCCGCCGGUGGCCAUGGUUGAGGGGCAACGACGGUGAGUGGCAGAGAGACGACGAGGUGGCCGAGCUUCCCGUGAGCACCGUGCUAACCCUAGAUCGGAAAGGUUUGUCGGUAGGAUGUGUGGCGGUGACGAAUCUCGUAGUCUGUGCCCCAGCCCCCACCUCUGUUAAUAUAGCACGGGUCACAGGGGUCCAUCAAUCAUAGUGGGUUGGGCGCCCCCGAUCAGGGGUCCGAUGGUCCGUUUGGCCCACACGGAAAGAGAUCAAUCUAACACACAGCACUGAGAAACUCAGCACCACACCUCAACCAUUUAUUGAUGUAUGUUGAAUACUUCUUCACUAGAGCAUAGAUUCAGUUGCCACAAAAUAAAACGAUUCAGAAGAGAUUUGCAAAAAAUGUGGGGGGGGGGGGGGGGNNNNNNNNNNUAAAUCGUAUUACAUAAGGUAGUUGGGGAAAGAAUGCCCUGUUUAUCUGGCUGCUACUACUGCCUUAAUGCAAGGCUUUGGGGGAUCAAUAUCAUAUACUAGUAGUAUAUAUGUGUAUGUAUGCAGGUAGGUAACAUAAAACAAGAAUGUAUGUAUGCUUAUGACUGAUGAGGUAGAUAACGCUCUUGACACGAAUAACUUUUCGUCAACAUCGUCCAGCAAGCGGCAUGGCGUCGCCGGAUCUAUUAUCUACCUUCUCAGGCCCUCGCAAAUGUAGGUGGCAUAGAGAUCCCUGAANNNNNNNNNNNNNNNNNNNNNNNNNNNNNNNNNNNNNNNNNNNNNNNNNNNNNNNNNNNNNNNNNNNNNNNNNNNNNNNNNNNNNNNNNNNNNNNNNNNNCACACGGCCAUGAGGACGAAGGUCCUACCAGAGCAACGCGCGAUUGUUGUUGCAGAGGAGCUUGCGGGAUUUCUGAGGACGGAAGUUAUAGAGCUCAAAGGACAAUUUAAGCUAAGGGCCAUUACUGAUGUUCGUCCAUGUAAUCGAAUAGACGGGCUCUAGUCCCGAUAAUUCAGAUCUCCAUAUAAUUGUAUAUAUACGCUCGCUUGUAAGAUAAGUUAAUCUUAUAUAUAUAUGCAUAAUUAUUUCUAUUUAAAUUAUAUGAAAACUAAUUCCCGAACACCAAACGAGGCAUCACGUUAAUCUCCCGAACACCUAAACCCUAAAACCCUAAAACCCAAAAAUAAUUUCAUUCAAAAAAAAACUCAAAAAUAAGCAAAAUCUGAAACUCUUUAGUCCUGAUCCGUGUAACGAACCGGGACUAAAGGGCCUGCCCCUAGGGCGCUACGAGGCGGCCACGUGGAGCACCUUUAGUCCCGACUUGGAACAGGGCCGGGACUAAAGGUUAAGCCUUUAGUUCCGCCCCUUUAGUCCCGGUUGGUGAACCGGGACUAAAGCCCUUACGGGCCGGGGCUAAAGGCCCCGUCCCCACUAGUGGGUACCAGAGGAUUUGCUUCACUUGGGUACACAACAAGUUCCUCCUGUCACCGUAAUUGUUAAUCCUUAGUUCGAGCGCAUGGCUCACGCUUGCCAGCAGCACAUUAUUUCAGUCCGGGUCAACUUUGGAUCAGUUAGGGCAUUUGCAACGCGGAUCAUGGCAAUGUAUCCGUCGGUGCCUCCACCAUCAACUACGUCUUCCUAGAUCCACUCUUUCCAUGCCCUUUUCGUUAACAAAUACUUUAAGCCAACCGAAAUGGAACAUGGCAACUUGUACGCAAAUCAUCAUUUCAAAAUUUGAACCUGUUGAGAAGUUGUAUUAACUAUGCCAUGCACAUACCACGCCAUUCUUGUUAACAAAUAUUUCAAGUCAGCCGCACAAAAGAUGAGUUGGAUUAUCACGUAUGUGACAGGUAAGCUAUGUGCUAAUUUCGACGCUACUAUUUACGGGUAUAUAAGAUAGCUGAUUGCUCAGCCAAAUCUUCUCAUCCACUGGAGUACCAAACAGAAUCAUCAACAAACUCUCAUAACUAGAGAGCAAGCGUACGGUCUCUCUCUCUCCCUCCCUCCCUCCCUCCCUCUCCUCCCNNNNNNNNNNNNNNNNNNNNNNNNNNNNNNNNNNNNNNNNNNNNNNNNNNNNNNNNNNNNNNNNNNNNNNNNNNNNNNNNNNNNNNNNNNNNNNNNNNNNUUAUCGUGCAGGCGAGGAGGGGCUUUAGUCCCGGGUGGAGCCACGACCCGGGACUAAAGCCCCUCGCCUGCCGCCUGCAGAGGAGGGGCUUUAGUCCCGGUGCGUGGCUCCAACCGGGACUAAAGGCCCCUGCUUCCCGCCUUCUAAUCUGCCCGAAAAAGGGCCUUUAGUCCCGGGUCGUGGCCCCAACCGGGACUAAAGGGGGUCUUUAGUCCCGGCUGGAGCNNNNNNNNNNNNNNNNNNNNNNNNNNNNNNNNNNNNNNNNNNNNNNNNNNNNNNNNNNNNNNNNNNNNNNNNNNNNNNNNNNNNNNNNNNNNNNNNNNNNNNNNNNNNNNNNNNNNNNNNNNNNNNNNNNNNNNNNNNNNNNNNNNNNUUAGAAAAAUUCCAACCCAAAUCAUCCAUUUAUCUUCUUCUUCCUCUCGUUCUCCUGCCCCGCGCGGCACACCGACGACCUCGACGACGUCGUUAGGCUGCCGCCGUCCUCCUCGCCGCCGCCUGCCGUCGCCGUCAUCCUCCUCGCCGCGCGCCGCCCUCCUCGCCGCGCGCCGCCGUCCUCCUCCCCGCACGCCGUCGACACCUCCGGCCGGUAAGCCCCCCGCCCCCUCCUCCCCAACACUCCGGCCAGUAAAAGAAAAGAAGAAAAAGAAGAAGAAAGGAAGAAAAAGGAGAAGAAAAGAAGAAAAAGGAGAAGAAAAGAAGAAAAAGGGAAGAAAGGAAGAAAAAGGAGAAGAAAGGAAGAAAAAAGAGAAGAAAAGAAGAAAAAGGAGAAGAAAGGAAGAAAAAGGAGAAGAAAAGAAGAAAAGAAGAAAAAGGGAAGAAAAGAAGAAAAAGAAAAAGAUUUUUUUGUCAUUUAAUUCCUAUUGUUAUUAGGUUUGUGCUAGAUUAUUAGGGUUAGUAAUAUUUAGAAUUAGGUUAGGGUUACAAGAAGAAGAAAUAUGAACAAAAAUAAGAAAAUAAGAUUAGGAAAAGGAAAAUAAGAAGAGGAGGAGAAGAAAAGAAGAAAAAGGAGAAUAAGAAGAGGAGGAGAGGAGAAGAAGAGGAAAAAUAGAAGAAGAGGAGAAGUAGAAGAAGAGAAAAAAUUAGAAGAGGAGGAGAGGAGAAGUAGAAGAAGAGAAGAGGAGAAGUAGUAGAAGAAGAGGAGAAGUAGAAGUAGAAGAAGAAGUAGAAGAAGAGGAGAAAUAGAAGAAGAGGAAAAAAUAGUUUAGGGUUACAAGAAGAAGAAAUAUAUUUUUUUGUCAUUUAAUUUUUCUAUUGUAUAGUGUAUAUGCUUAAGGGUUAAUAGUGUUUCUUAGAUUAUUGCUUAAUUUUGCUAUUGUAUUUGCUUAAGUGUUAAUAGUUUAAUUUUGCUAUUGUAUAUGCUUAAGUGUUAAUAGUUUAUUUUUAGCAAGAAAAUUAAUACAAAUAGUUUAUUUUUUUAGUUCAUUUUAUGAUGCCUAUCCCGCAUCCUCGUCAUCGACUCGGCGGAGGACACCUACUUGAUCAGAGGGGCCCUGUCCGGGACUGGGCUCCGCCCGGCUGGUAUUGGGAGGUGCUACCUUUCGGGGGGCGUAGGUUGGUGAGGAGCCAGUCCGUCGUUGACCCGAUCCUUGUUUGGUGGUGGUCGCGUGGGCCAGUGAGGGUGCCGAGGCUUCUGGACACCGCGGAGGUGGUACGUCACCGUGUCAGCGAGGAGGAUGAGCACGUCCGUCGCUACAUGGUUGCGUUGGAGGGCAGGUUCGAGCAUACCUGGCAGGUUCUUCGGAGAUCUCACUGGAGCUAUGAUCCUGUGAUGGUUCCUUCUCUUUGGGUGUCCACCGCCCGCGCCGAAACCCGUCGGGCGCUACGGUUCUAGAUGUAUCAGUGAUGCUAUAUGUAUGAUAGUAUUCGAGGAGUAUUAGUGAUAAUAUUCGACGAUGUACGGACAAAAGAGAUGAUGUAUUUGCUUAUAAUUGAAUGCAUGCUAAUUUGAAUACUACUUUAUUUUACGAUUUGGUUUUGCUUAUUGAAUGCUCAAAUUGGAAAAGUACUCCUACUUUGAAUACUAUGCAGAAAUCUAGUUUAUUAGUUAAUCAAAUGUCCGUUUUUUGCAGAACUAUGGAUCCACAUAUCAGGAACCUCGAAGAGGAAGAACUUCUCGAAGAUAUAAUCAAAGACGGCCCCGACGUUGAACCAGCUGAAUCUCCGUCGUCAUAUCUAAACCCCUCCGGAUAUGGAAUGGAGGUCGACCGACACGAAGAUGAAGCCGAUGGGGCAGGAGACAGGUUCAAUGAUGGAGAAGGUGAUAGCUCCACUGAUGGAGAAGCCGGUGAAGAAAUAAUAAAGUCCGGCGAGGUAUACAUAUGAAGUUCGACAAUCACUUGUAAUAUGUGAAAAAUAUUGGAGAUAGCUCUAUAUUGUAUACAUAUACAUUCCUUUGACGAAUGUUUCUCCCUCUUAGGCCUCCACAUCGAGCAAAGCUACGAAACGAGGCCCGACUAGAAAGUUGGAUGCACGGACGCAUUACACCUUUGAGGUGAUAUUGCCUACGGGCGAACCCAAGCUGCUGACACAUUCAAGAAGCAAUGCGGAGUUCUCGUUAGGGAUCACGCCCCGAUCAGCGUUCGGGAGUGGAACAAGCGCAAAGGGGCAGCCGAUAGUGACUAUGUCACCGAAAGGUACAAAGAUAAUCUUUGGAAUGAUCUCAUGUCACAUUUCAACCUGCCAGAAUGUGAGAAUGAAGACGCCGCAGAAAAACUGAGGGCCAAAGUCAAGCAGUGGACUCUAAAGAAGAUGGUCGAACUGUUCCGUAGCUGGAAGAAGAAGCUAUGGAAAAACUAUCUGAAGACAAAGAAAGUGCCAGUAUUCGAGGGGUAUCUAGCCAAGCAGGCGAAUCACUGGAAGGCAUUUCAAGAGUACAAGGAGUCAGAAGAUGCCCAGGCAUUAUCAGAAAAGAACAAGAUAAAUGCCGACAAGAAAAAUAUCACCACAAGCUGGGGCCAGGGGGCUAUGAGACUGCCAUCCCAAAGUGGGAUAAGAAAGAGCAAGAUCUGCUAGCUAAAGGCAUCGUACCUGAACCACUCCGUGAUGAGUGGGAAUUGAGAGCAAGAAAUUGGUUCCUUGCGCAUGGUGGUUCGUACGACGAAGAAACAGGGGACCUCAUCUGCAGUGACGGUCUUAGGAUAUCCAGGGAGAAUUGGAAAAGGAUAGUGAAAGAGAUUAAGGAGGGAAAAGAAAGUUCACUACAGAUAGAGAGAAAGAUUUGCUCACACUAGUCCUCGGCAAUGACGAACAUGGAGGACGAACGCGAGGCUUCGGUCCUUCUUACCCGUGGUGGCUUGGGUUUGCCAGAGACCAAGACACUUACAGAAGCCGAGAGAGAGCAAAGAAGCGGCAGCAGGAUGAGGAGAAUGACAAGUUCAACCAGUUGCUUGCCAGGAUUAACGAGCAACAGAAGCAGAUUGAUGAGCUNNNNNNNNNNNNNNNNNNNNNNNNNNNNNNNNNNNNNNNNNNNNNNNNNNNNNNNNNNNNNNNNNNNNNNNNNNNNNNNNNNNNNNNNNNNNNNNNNNNNACAAGGUACAAGAUUGAGUAAGACUCAGUGCCCAGCAACUGAUGAAGAUAGAGAGCAUAUGCGCUCCGUCCCCUAUUCUUCAGCCAUAGGUUCUAUCAUGUAUGCGAUGUUGUGCACUAGACCGGAUGUUAGCCUGGCCAUAAGUAUGGCAGGGNNNNNNNNNNNNNNNNNNNNNNNNNNNNNNNNNNNNNNNNNNNNNNNNNNNNNNNNNNNNNNNNNNNNNNNNNNNNNNNNNNNNNNNNNNNNNNNNNNNNNNNNNNNNNNNNNNNNNNNNNNNNNNNNNNNNNNNNNNNGUCAAGAAUAUCCUGAAGUACCUGAAAAGGACUAAGGAGAUGUUUCUCGUGUAUGCAGGUGACGAAGAGCUCGCCGUAAAAGGUUACGUCGAUGCAAGCUUUGACACAGAUCCGGACGACUCUAAGUCGCAAACCGGAUACGUAUUUAUUCUUAAUGGGGGUGCCGUAAGCUGGUGCAGUUCCAAGCAAAGCGCGUAGCAGAUUCUACAUGUGAAGCAGAGUACAUGGCUGCCUCGGAGGCGGCUAAGGAGGGUGUCUGGAUGAAGCAGUUCAUGACGGAUCUUGGAGUAGUGCCAAGUGCACUGGAUCCAAUAACCCUGUUCUGUGACAACACUGGUGCCAUUGCCUUAGCAAAGGAACCAAGGUUUCACAAGAAGACCAGACACAUCAAACGACGCUUCAACCUCAUCCGCGACUACGCCGAGGAGGAGGACGUAAAUAUAUGCAAAGUGCACACGGAUCUGAAUGUAGCAGACCCGUUGACUAAACCUCUUCCACGGCCAAAACAUCAUCGACACCAGAACUGUAUGGGUGUUAGAUUUAUUACAAUGUAAUUCACAUGGUGAUGUGAGGGCUAGAUUAUUGACUCUAGUGCAAGUGGGAGACUGUUGGAAUUAUGCCCUAGAGGCAAUAAUAAAUGUAUAGUUAUUAUUAUAAUUCCUGUAUCAAGAUAAUAGUUUAUUAUCCAUGCUAUAAUUGUAUUGAAUGAAGACUCAUUUACAUGUGUGGAUACAUAGACGAAACACCAUCCCUAGCAUGCCUCUAGUUGGCUAGCCAGUUGAUCGAUGAUAGUCAGUGUCUUCUGAUUAUGAACAAGGUGUUGUUGCUUGAUAACUGGAUCACGUCAUUGGGAGAAUCACGUGAUGGACUAGACCCAAACUAAUAGACGUAGCAUGUUGAUCGUGUCAUUUUGUUGCUACUGUUUUCUGCGUGUCAAGUAUUUGUUCCUAUGACCAUGAGAUCAUAUAACUCACUGACACCGGAGGAAUGCUUUGUGUGUAUCAAACGUCGCAACGCAACUGGGUGACUAUAAAGAUGCUCUACAGGUAUCUCCGAAGGUGUUCGUUGAGUUAGUAUGGAUCAAGAUUGGUAUUUGUCACUCCGUAUGACGGAGAGGUAUCUCGGGGCCCACUCGGUAAUACAACAUCACACACAAGCCUUGCAAGCAAUGUGACUUAGUGUAAGUUGCGGGAUCUUGUAUUACGGAACGAGUAAAGAGACUUGCCGGUAAACGAGAUUGAAAUAGGUAUGCGGAUACUGACGAUCGAAUCUCGGGCAAGUAACAUACCGAAGGACAAAGGGAAUGACAUACGGGAUUAUACGAAUCCUUGGCACUGAGGUUCAAACGGUAAGAUCUUCGUAGAAUAUGUAGGAUCCAAUAUGGGCAUCCAGGUCCCGCUAUUGGAUAUUGACUAAGGAGUCUCUCGGGUCAUGUCUACAUAGUUCUCGAACCCGCAGGGUCUGCACACUUAAGGUUCGACGUUGUUUUAUGCGUANNNNNNNNNNAUCCUUGGCACUGAGGUUCAAACGAUAAGAUCUUCGUAGAAUAUGUGGGAUUCAAUAUGGGCAUCCAGGUCCCGCUAUUGGAUAUUGACCGAGGAGUCACUCGGGUCAUGUCUGCAUAGUUCUUGAACCCGCAGGGUCUGCACACUUAAGGUUCGACGUUGUUUUAUGCGUAUUUGAGUUAUAUGGUUGGUUCCCGGAUGUUGUUCGGAGUCCCGGAGGAGAUCACGGACGUCACGAGGGUUUCCGGAAUGGUCCGGAAACGAAGAUUGAUAUAUAGGAUGACCUCAUUUGAUUACCGGAAGGUUUUCGGAGUUACCGGGAAUGUACCGGGAAUGACGAAUGGGUUCCGGGAGUUCACCGGGGGGGGGCAACCCACCCCGGGGAAGCCCAUAGGCUUUGGGGAGACACACCAGCCCUUAGUGGGCUGGUGGGACAGCCCCAAGUGGGCCUAUGCGCCUAGAAAUAAAAAUCAAAGGAAAAAAAAAAAGAGGGAGGAAGUGGGAAGGGAGGGGGACUCCUCCCACCAAACCAAGUCCAACUCGGUUUGGGGGGGGAGUCCUCCCCCCCUUGGCUCGGCCGACCCCUUGAGGGUCCCUUGGACCCCAAGGCAAGGUCCCCCUCCCUCCUCCUAUAUAUAUGGAGCUUUUAGGGCAGAUUUGAGACGACUUUCUCACGCCUGCCCGACCACAUACCUCCAUAGUUUUUCCUCUAGAUCGCGUUUCUGCGGAGCUCGGGCGGAGCCCUGCUGAGACAAGAUCAUCACCAACCUCCGGAGCGCCGUCACGCUGCCGGAGAACUCUUCUACCUCUUCGUCUCUCUUGCUGGAUCAAGAAGGCCGAGAUCAUCGUCGAGCUGUACGUGUGCUGAACGCGGNNNNNNNNNNNNNNNNNNNNNNNNNNNNNNNNNNNNNNNNNNNNNNNNNNNNNNNNNNNNNNNNNNNNNNNNNNNNNNNNNNNNNNNNNNNNNNNNNNNNAGGAUCGCAGCCGACGACCUCCUCUCCUAUCCCCACAAUACCGGCGACCUCUUCUCCUCCAGCACCACCGUCGACAUCCCGCCUCCACUCUGCAACCCGCCGCAGUCGCCCCCCCACCUUCUCCUUCUCCUUGUCUUCCUAGGAGGAAGGGCCCAGAUCCAACCCCAAAUUUCCCUCUGCAGCUCCCAAAUCUUCAUCGAACAUCGACCAUGUCGGCCUACUCACCGGUCGCGGGAGGACCUGCAGGGGGCUACCCAGGCGUUGUUCGACAGGUUCGGGGCCCCGGAAUGCAUGCCGCCGCCGCCGCGCAGCUGCUGUUCGGGCAGGUGAGCCAAGAACCACCGCCACGCCCAGCUUUGGCUUUGUUCCGUGCUUCAUCAAUCGCACUAACAGAACUCUGCUUUCUUUCCCCCCGUGUAUCCAAGGCCGGCUCAAUGCCACCUCCAGCGGCGCAGGGCAGGGCGACGGCGGCCGUGCCGCCGCGGUAGCGGCAGCGGGCGAGGAGGGGCCAGGCCACCGACCCGCACAGCAUCGUCGAGCGUGUAAGCGACCCUCGCCGCCACCUUUCCCUUCCCUUCUCCCCCCAAUCAUUAUGCUCAUGUCCUCCUGCAUCCUGCACUGUUCUUGACUUCCUGCUCCUGCUCCUCGCGGUUACCUUCUUCCCUUUGCUGCGUGGUGGCCGGCGGCCGAAGCCUGAAUCCCCGUCGCGGUAGGUGCCGAUUUGUUUGUCUGCUGCGUGGUGUACUGGUUGGUAGGUGCCCUUGCUAAUCUAGUCCAUUCACCCGUACCUGGUCUGCCUACCUUAGCCGCUUCUUCUUCUUCAGCGUGCCAGACCGAUCUAAGAUGGCCCUGUAGCGCGGCCCCAUCUUAUUUUGUGUGAAUUCGUCUAGAUUUGUUCUACCAACGGGAGUUGGAGUGUUAGAGUUCAGAGCAAGAGGAAAUAGCUCAAAAUGUUAUGCUCUCAUAGUCUCGUCGGAAGCCGUAGUGUUCCUGACUGAGUACCCUUCUUGGAUUGACUUAUGUAUGCUAAUAUCUGGAAUUCAGACACCUGCUGCUUCUGUAUGUUAAUAUAUUUGGAAUUUUAGACACCUGCUCGUCACUGCUUUUCUCUUUGCCACGAAGAAUACUUGCAAUUGCUCACAACAUCUGUCCCUACCGACUAGACUGAUAUGCGUGUUUAUGCAGAAGAAAUUACAUUGUGGAUAUAAUUUUCUCUCCGAUGCAGCAAGAUGACCCCAUUCCUAAAAUUUGCCUUGUUUUCCCAUUCCACGGAGGACACUAAAAGAAAGUUAGAUGGGGAAAGCUGAUAUAAUUUUAAAAAUACAACUAAUGUACAAGUUAGUUAGUCCUGACACUAAAUUCAGGUUUAUUGUUUGUCUUAGAAGCACCUCAUGUGUUUGUGUAGUUGUACAGUCUAGUGUUGUCAGCUCUUUACUUAUGUCUUACCGUUUUAAAAUUCAAUUUUAAAAAUACAACUACUGUAAACUACUGUACAACAUGCAGCAUCCAGUGGCUCUGAUGACUAUUUUUGCAUCUCACCGUCUUAGCGUUGUGUCAUGUGUGUCUAAUUCAUGGAUUCAGCUUACGGCCUCUUAUUCAUGUUGACUUUUUUCUCAUCCCUCCAUUUGCGUUUCUUAUGCAUAUACCUAGAUUUUUCAUAUUUUUUUGCAAGUACGUACUUGUAGUCAUGACACUAAGCGUUUUUGGUCUGUAAACUAAGCAUACUCAGCAUAUCAAUUAACCCAGCAAGUAAGCAAAUUUUUACGUACGAAUGAAAACUGAGAACUUUUUAGUUUGAAUACUAGGUAUUUUUUCAUCAUGGCAACUAAGAACUCUUUAAUCUGGAAAGUAAGUAUUUUUCUAGCAUGGCAACUAAAAACUUUUUAAUCUGGAAACUAGGUAUUUUUGGCAACUAAGAACUCUUUAAUCUGGAAACAAGCUACUUUCUACAUGGCUUAUAAUCUGCAAGUGGGGAAUUGCAGGUGGGGAAUGAACUAGAGUCAGACUUAUAAUCUGCUCUGUUGUGUUUAGCAGGACGGGCAUGUCGGGUUCCUGCUCUCCUGCUACGACGCACACCUCCGAUACGACCGGCGAACCGACACCUUCACCGCCAGGUACCACUCACCACUCAUCACUCCACCUCACCUGCCCGAGAUCGAUGUCCGUAAUUGACUGGUUCAUAAGCUGUUUCGAUCAAUCAGUGAUCGAUCGAGAUAUGUACAUACAAUGGUUUAAUGCAUGAAGGCGAUCAGAGCGUGGGAUAUUUUCGUCUUGCUUUCAAUGUGUUGAUUGAUGGUGUGUUGUGAACUGUGAUAGGUACCCGCCCCACGGCCGGAAGCCGGCCAAGGAGGAGGAGGGCGUGCAAUAUUAUUCUUGAGCUUCAAUAUCUAUUGCACGGACUGAUAUUUCGAAUGUGUCAAGGUAAGCGGCUGUUAAUCAACCAUGUAAUUUUUCAACUGAACCGAAGCUUUAGCUAGUUCAUUUUUGGAUGCAACUCUAUAUUAGUGAAUACCUUCAAUAACAAUAGAAAUUCAUUCAAACCAUUAGUUGAUUGCUUCGUUGGGAAUUUCCAGUGAAAAAUAUAAACUUCACACAAACUUUAUAUUGCUAAUAAUGCGUAAGUUGAAACAUGCCCAAUAAGAAAGAACGUAUAUUAUGCCCUAUUCAAGUAGGCGCCUGAAAAUCUAAAACCAAUUAACAUCUUGAUAUAAAUUCAUCACCCUAAAAGAGAGACCAAACAUUUGACUAUUUAAGGCAUGUUUCACGAAUGCAAGUACUAGAAACAUAGACUUUCUGUCUCUAAUAAAAAAAAGAGCAAUACCAUGACUUAUUGACAUAUAUCUUUCUUUCUUUCUAAACGCUCUUAUUUUGAUAUAAAUUCAUCACCCUAAAAGAGAAUCCAUAGGAGCGUGCAUUGCUCUCGCUGUGGCGGCACGGAACCGAGACGUCGAUUUGGUCCUCCUCCUAGUCAACCCAGAUAUUGCUUUCAUCAACCAUGGUUUCUGCAUUGCUCUGUUCUUUCUUUUGGUGACAGUAACUUCUUACUAACCAAUCUGUAUUUUGGCAUCUUCAGGGACAUCUUUCCACAGGUCACAGAUGCAGCCUCUCUCAGCAUUCCUGGAUUUGGUCCCUGAUCCAUUCCAUUUAAGCACCCGAGAGUUUCUAAAUUUCCUCACAGGUUUGGCACCAUCUCCGUGAACAGCGAGCUGAAUUUUAAUAUGAUAUCUUCCCGCCUUGUACUAGUUUCAAGUGAGAAGAAUAACGACCAUAUACAGAGUGUCAAAUCAGUGAUCUGUUCAAAAAAGAACCAAAUCAUCAGUGAAUGAAAAUACAACAUAGGCAUGGUUUAAUUUUGUAUGCAAUUAGUACUCAUAUUGUUUUCACCUUGAAUGUUAGGCGAUGACGAAAACGAUGGUGUCUUGCGUCCAAAGCAUGUUCGGUGUGUUCGACAAAUCUGUCCAGGAGGUAACAGCAGAUAUCAUAUCACACACAUCCUUUGGAAGUAGCUACAAGUUAGGAAUGGAAGCCUUCUAUGCCCAGAAAGAGCUCCAGGCAAUCGCCAUAUCCAGUUUACUCAAUAUGCAGAUAUCGUCAUGGACAAGCCCGGCGGCGAGGGCGCCCCCAAGCACCAGAUGAUCGACUGCUACAUCCACACCCUCGCCAAGGUCCUCGGAAGGUACCCAUCCAUCCAGUCUCGAUCCCGUUGAAUUCGCUACAGGCUUGUAUUAUCAGAGCUAACCUGUCCUGUUUCUCCUUCCCAUAGGGUGUGUCUGAAUACAUCUUUUGGUUGUGCUGCAGGGGUUCCUGGUAAUCUCUUUGUGCUCCCGGAUUCCUAUAUUGACCCUUAACACAAGGACUAUGGAGGUAUUUCUCGACAUGUUAUACAUAUCCCGCAACCAUGUUAAAAUCUUGGGGUUGGCGAUGAUUUAGUAGUAGAAAUGGAAUCUCGGGCAAAUGUUGGGGACGGUUUGAUGAUUAGGAACUUUAUGAUAAUUACUCGAGUUCCUGUGGUGCGUUAUCCGAUUUAGAGCCAGACAAGGAUCUUGUUGUGAUUAUUCGAUAUUGUUCAAGAUUUAGGUGUCCAGGCUUGUGCUAAUUGAGUCUUGUACUGUACUACUCUAUUUGGUAUGUGAUGGCAUAUUUUGCACUUUUGCUGCAAGUGAAAAAAUUGUAGGUUCCAACUUUGUUUCGUCAAAGACUAAUAUUACUCCAGUAGAACACUCGUGAACCAUUGUACUAGUUCGAGUCCCAUAGUUGUCAGUAUAAAAAGAUGUUUUAAAGUUUCAAACUGUUAAAAUCUUGGGGUGCUUGGGGAUGAUUUAGUAGUAGAUACGGAAUCCCGGGCAAAUGGCGGGGACAAUUUGCUGUGUUGAACAACCAUCUCUUGAGCGCAUUGGAACAAGAGUAAACUGUUCAACUAAAACUGCUGACAAAACAUUACUGUAAAAUCAGCAGUAAAUAUGCUGCGGUGAUUUGGGCCAAGCCCUUUGGCUGAGUAGAAAAAGUUAAAAGACCAUCAAAUCAAAUGCUUGUUCAGUAUGUUGCAUCCAGUGUUGGCCACUGAAAUAGUGCAAACUUGAGCAAACAGAUUUGCUUCACAGAACUGUGCCAGUGACAUACUGAUAUGUUUGAAUAUUGCAAAAUAGGUAGUAAUAUUGUAGGUCGUGUAUAACAACCCAUGAGAUUCUACCAGCCCAAACAAAAUCAAAGGAAAGAAGCCAAGUAUUCUAUUUACUACCAAUCAGUGUAGUUCGUAGAAAGAGAUGUCACUCUUGGUCCACAGAAAACAGUAGUAUUAUUUUUUGAAAUAUAGCUACAGAACAAGGGAGGAAGGCAACAACUAUGAAAUCCCACUACAGAUAAAAAGAAUAUCAUGUAUUGGGAAAACAUGAUUAGACUGAAACAAGCCACAAUACUCUACAGUUCGCGGAUUGUGCAAUAUUAAUAUUAGGCCACAAGACACAAUACUCUACAGCUCAUUGGCCCAUGAACACGUGACAAGGAGGGGUGUGUGAUGUGUACAGGGCCCUCACUCACAAGGAGCCCUUCACCAAAACCAUAGUGUCAAAUUACCACUGCAUCUAAAAUAACUUGUUGUGCAUAGUGUCAAAAUAUUCAUGUGAUCUCAAACCUAUUUUGAUUUGAACUUGGCAUAUGUUUAUGUCCAGUUUCUGUUAAUUAUCUUGAAUGGUGUGGUACCGUGCCUAUGCGCGCACAACUUCCUCUCACAAAAAAAAAACUAAGUGCAUGUCUCUCUCAUUUUUGUUUGCAUUUCUUUUAACAUCAUCAUCAGGAUGAACACAAAUCUUUUUUAUUUCUAAUAUUUUUUAUAUUUAUUUCCUUUUGAUUGAUUCAUGUGCAGUGUAAUGUUCUUGUAGGAUGACAAAUUGUUGCAUCUCGAGCAUGUCUCAUAGGAGAGUGGAAUGAAGUCCAUUGUACUGUUGGGAUAGUAGCAGAUGUGUCAUUGUUCUAUUGUGCAAUUCUAUCCACUCUUGCUAUAUUCAUGUGUAAGGAAAUGUAUUCAUGAGAUGAGUUAUUGUAUUAUGUAAACCUGGGAGAUGUAUUAUGUGAUGUUAUAUGAUGGAUGAUUUUAAUUUAAUUUGAAGUUUUCUUGAUUUGAAUAUAAAAUAAUGUUGGAUUUAAUAUUGGACAAAUAAUUGAGUUGAAAAAGAACAAAUAGAAAUGAAACCAAGUUCUGAAACAAAAAGUUGCUGAAUUCAAAAAUGAAAAAAUGCCAAAACUAAAACUGUAUCAAAUGUAUGUAUCAAAUGUAUUUGAGCACUAAAAGGCCAGGGCCCAAACUAUAAUGAUAAAAAAAUUCAAUUUUUUCACUAAUUAUAAUGAUAAAAGAAAUUCGAAAAAAAUACUAAAGUGGCUGUAAAUAGGCUAAGGCCCAAAAAGAAGCCCAAUAAGAAAAAGCCCAAAAAAAUAAAACCAGCCCAUGUGAUCAAUUGAAAUGGGCUGGGCUGAUUUCAACUACGAUGUUUUGAUUUCAUCGUAAUUUUGACACGUAGGACUGCCACGUAGGACUGGGUUUGAUUGCCAACGACGAUUUAGGAUCGUCGUAAAGGUUACGACGAUCUAGAAAUCGUCGUAAAAGUUACGACGAUUUUGAUCAAAACAUCGCUGCUGUUCAUUUGUGACGCUCCGUUUUCGACGCUUGGUUUUUCGUCGUGAGAUCAUCGUAAAUUAAAAACCGUGACGAUGUAGCGACGAAAAAAUAGCGUCGUGUAUUAGCAUAUUCCUUGUAGUGCUCUCUCGUUGCUGGUCUCUCCAUAGGAAGAUCUGAAUAUAAAUCUGAGAAUGGUUUCAUACUUGAACCAUACCUGAACCAUAUCCAUACAUUUAUCUCUCAAAACCAUACUUAAACCAUACCCAUUUGAUGUCAUUUUCAGCCCAACCAAUAAUAAAUCCAUUAUUUUUUCCACCCAAACCAACUUAAACCCAAUACAUAACCGUGGGUUUAAAACCAAUACAUAACUAUGGGUUUUCUUUAAUAUACAUAUAAUUGCACAAAUUGACAAGUUAAGAAGCAACUGAGAUAGAAAAGGCAUAAGUGCAUCUACAACAGUUUGAGAACAAAGUUAGCCUUGAGAUACAGUCAGCACACAGCAAAAAGAAAAAAAAUGCCGACGUAUGAAUAACUCACUAACAAGUGUAUUAAAACAAAAUUACUUAGCUAAAGGACAAGCAAACACUUCCGUUUUUCAUGUGGUAUUUCUCCAUAAUACAUAAUUACAUAGUGCAUUACAACAUGUAUGCGGAUCAAAGAUAUUCGUUCUCGGUUAUCGUUGGUUAUUGCACAUAACCAAUGCCUAGAAACCGGGUUGGACCCAUAGUUUAUAACCGUUUAUAACCAAACUGUUUAAGCCCAUAACCAACUAUACCCAAACUGAUUUCUCCACAUACCCAAACCAAAACCAAACUAAAAAAUGUUCAACCCAAUAAAACCUAAACCAAUCAAACCCAAAGUAAUAACUGAACCGUUACACCCGGUUUUCGAAUAACCAUUUCCAGGUUUAUCUGAAUAUGCGUAGGAUUUUUUUUGAAUUUAUGCUACGUUUCCCAACAAAUGCAAGCCCGGUCUCGGAUGGGUUCGGCCCUCCAUUUUUCAGGAUUAACUGGGAUCUUGUCAAGCACGAUUUGCUUGCUCUGAUGAAUGAUUCUCACAUCGGCUCUGUCGACCUUCGUAGGAUUAAUAAAGCUUUCAUUGUGUUACUCCCUAAACGAGUUAGAGCCUCGUCUCCGGAGAAUUCCAGACCGAUUUCUCUUCGAAACUGCCUCAUUAAGAUCAGCUCCAAAUGUCUGGCAUCCCGGGCACAACCUUUCAUACCCUUAAUCAUCCAUCAUGACCAAUCUGGCUUCAUUAAAGGCAGAAGUAUCGCUGACAAUUUUAUUUACACUGCUGAUAUAGUUGAAACUUGUUUCAAGCGUAAAAAAUCAACGAUCGUUCUAAAACUAGAUUUUCACAAAGCCUUUGAUUCUGUUUCUUAGGACGCGCUGGCGGCUAUUUUAAAAGCUAAAGGUUUCCCUUCGAAAUGGUGCGACUGGAUUCAAAAUCUAAAUGAGAUCAGUCAGUCGGCUGUGCUUCUUAACGGUAAACCGGGACCCUGGAUUGCUUGCAAAAAGGGCCUACGGCAGGGAGACCCAAUCUCCCCCCUCCUAUUCAUUAGUGUCGCUGAUGUGCUCGAGCGUUUGAUUCACCAGGCUUCCUCCAACGGCCUUCUGUCUCACCCCAUUGACUCGGCCAUUCCAUGCCCGGUGCUUCCAUACGUCGAUGACACCCUAAUUAUUCUGCAAGCAGACCUGGAACAACUUCAUACGCUUAAAUCAAUCCUGCUUCAAUUCUCAAAUGCCACGGGCUUGGUGAUGAACUUCCACAAGAGCACCUUCGCUCCUAUUCAUGUCGAACCGGCCCUCGCAUCUGCACUUGCAUCAAUUCUAGGGUGCACAGUUGCUUCCUUCCCUCAAUCCUACCUAGGCCUGCCUUUGUCUACCCACAAACUAAACAUCAAAGACUUUUUCUUCAUCAUCGACAAGAUUGACCGUCGUUUGGCAGGCUGGCGAGGUGUCCUUCUUAACAUUGUCGGACGCGCAAUCCUGGUUAGAGCUGUUCUGUGAGCCCUUCCUAUAUAUGCCAUGACCGCCCUUUUUGCUGCCUGCGGGCAUUGUUCAGGAAAUCGAUAAACGUUGCCGGGAUUUUUUCCGGGCAGGACAGGAAAUAGUCUCGGGUGGUCAAUGUAAAGUGGCUUGGGAAUUUGUCUGUGCUCCAUUCUCGUGAGGGGUUCUAGGUUUUUCUUCUCCGCAUCACUUAAACUCUUGUUUACUCCUCACUUGAAUAAAAUACACUCCGACAUCCAAAAUGCGAACUCCUCUCCAUUGACGGCAAAAUAUGGUUGGUCGGUCUCUCGGGACGUGGACACUUCUCACCCUUUUCAAUCCUUUGUUUGGCGAGACAUUGCCAAGGGGAUCGAAUUCUUUCGGUCCGUAACUAUGGUGCAGAUCGGAAAUGGGUUGACUACUGCCUUCCGGCUUGACCUAUGGGUACCCAACAAUACUCAGAAUCUUGCAACUAUCUUCCCUGCCAUCUUCUCUCACUCCCUCAGGCCUUCGGCAUCCGUUGCCCGAGUGCUUAGUGAACCCCAACUGCAACUUGACUUGGCUCCGAAACUAUCUAACGCUGCAGACAUUGAACUGGAUAAUCUUCGUACCUUGCUGGCAUCUGUCUCCUUGAAUGUGCAGGAUCAGGACAAACGACGAGGACGUAUCGACGGCAAGCCUCUAACUUGCAACUCUGCAUAUAAGGCGGUUUGGGCCAACAAACCUCUGGACCCCUUCGCGCCAGUAAUCUGGAGGAACUAUGCACCCAAUAAAUGCAGAAUUUUCCUAUGGCUUUCAUGCAAGAAUCGAGUCUUCACCAACGAAAGACACUUCAAAAGGGGGAUAACAGACUCUUCCUCCUGUCCUUUCUGCUCGGCUUCGGAAUCUGCAGAACACCUAUUCCUUCUUUGCAACCAUCUGGGACCACUGUGGCAGGAGCUCUCUGCUAUCUCUGCCUCCCCUCCAUCGGACUUUACGCAGCUUUGGGGAUCGCAACCUGCUAACAAGACUCGUUCCACAAUAAUCACUGCGAUUCUUUGGAAUAUUUGGAAAAGAAGAAACGCAAUGGUUUUCAGGGGGGGAGCUACAACCUAUCCACCUGGUUGCCAGAAUGGCUGCAGACGACAUAAUGCUAUGGUCGAACAGAUGCUCCAAGGAGCACCCAACGCUUCUUCUGCGGGAUUGGUGUACAAUGUUGUUUCACCUCUCUGAGAGAUUGUAAUUUUUUGCUUUUUUCCAUUUUUUUCCUUUCCUUCUUUCCUCCUUCCUCCUGGCAUUCUCCUUGCCACCCCGAUCCCUCUUCCCGCUCUUUUGUAACUAUCCGUUUUUUCAAUAUUAUUUGGUUCAGGCCGGCGUAAGCCCGCCGUAGCACCGUCAAAAAAAAGAAAAGGCAGAGAGGCACCCACACGUACACAACAACCUCUACCCAACCGAUUUUCUCCUCCCAAUACUUGGUACACAACAACUUCUACCCAACCGAUUUUCUCCUCCGAAUACUUGGUUGAAAUCCUCGUCUGAUGCACUGAUUUCCUUGAUUGUAAACGAUGCAAUGAUUAUGAUUGAAUAAAGGAGGAUUUGAUUGUCAAAAACAAAAUAAUUCUUACCCAACCGCCAUGAGUACACAAUAAUGGGCCUGAUAGAUAAAACAUCCUCUCAAAAAUGAGAGAGUAAAACAACCUCUUAGACACAUGCAUGUGGGCCCCACAAUACAACCGCAACCCCUAUUCAUCGGGAGGCUCCCUUCAAGAUAGCUUAGACCAACUCUAGCACACCCCGUAUAACUCGCGAACACGUAAAAUAACCAUUAUUUUACAAUUUCGGGCCAAAAAAGUGUCCCAAACACGCGAUGGACCCUUGAAAAUGUUUAAGGGGCGUGGUAAAAGUGCCAUGUAUCUCAUGAAAGCGGUUGACAGAGGGGACAUUUCAUCCAGUGCUGGUUCCUUUCCCCAUCCCACAGCGCCGCCGCCUGCCCGACGCCUGUGAUUUCGUCCACGCCCGACGCCUGAAUCAUGCCGCCGGAAUCACGCCACCGGACCGCUCCUAAGCCCGUUCCACUGUGCCGAUUCGCCGCCCCACCGAAUUGGCCGAGCCGAGCCGCCCCAGGUGCACACCGGACCGGAUCGACCCCCACCGAGCCGCCAACAGCUCCACCUUGGAUUCAAAAGUUUGCGGCCACCCCUGGCCACCACCGGUGGGUCCUUUCGUGCCCUUGUCUAGUUCGAAGUAGCCGUGGAUUUGGCGAAGAAAAUCCUUUCAUGCGAGCUGGGGAGCGCCAUUUUGUAGAUGCAUUUGAGCCAUUGCGAGGAGUUUUUUCUCGAGGAUUCCUCGUCGACAUAGAGUCGCUGGCAUUUUCAUUCAUUUCAUUUAAUUCAUGUGUGAGAUUUUCGUUAUUGUUGUAUUCAUAACAGUUUUUGUAUUGAAUUAUUACUUUAUUUUGAAGAUUUGCAUAUUUAUUAUAAUCCGAAUGAUUGUUGUAUUAUGAUUUGGAUAUUUGAUCUUAUGUUUUGUAAUCAAAUUUUAAAAAUACCAUGUAUUUCUAUGGGCUGGUGAUGGCCGCGGCAGAACAACACCCCACAUUGUAAAACUGUAAAACAAAAUAUUCCUCGGUGCGGGUGAUGUUCUGCCGUGGCCUUUGUUAGUCUGUAAAAAGCGAUUUUCACGAACUGUAAACGCGUGAUAUGAAUCUGCCAUAUACGGGCCUGCUAGAUUUGCUCUUAAGUGUUUUCAAGGAAUAUAUGUGUGUAUGUGCUUACUUUUGUCGCCUAUGCAUACCCAUAGAGCUGGUGGUGUGUCCUCCGUGCAUGUUUACCGGUAGGGCAAGCAAGCACCAAAUGAAAGAUUGUUUGGACUAGACUGGACUGGACUCGACUAAGCACCAAAUGAAUGGUUACUUGGACUGGACUGGACUGGCCGGAGGAGCUGCCGGUGGCGUACAUGGGUUCAUGAUCGAGAGGUUGGAGGUGGAGAUGGAUGGAUAUCAUAUCCAUGUCGCCAUUGUCGUAGAUCAGCCACCAGCUGCUUACAUCAUCUCUAGCAAAACCCAUAUAAUGCUCUGAUCCAUAAAAUAAUCGUUGAAAUAUGGAUGGAUACAGUAAAUGUUGUCCGAUCAAACCCCGUAAACGCGUCUGACCCGUAAUUUUUUUUACGGAGCGUGGCAAAUGUUCGCCCUCAACCUUCAGAUUCACAGGGUGGGAGGCCGACCCAAGCUCUCCCCUAUCCACAACGAGAUUUGGUGUGAGAGAAAUUUCCACGCGUCCGUUCCCCGCUCCCCCCUCCUCGGCAGCCAUUGCCCCGCCACCGCACGCUCCGGAUCAUCUUCCCCGUCAUUCGUCGCCGCCAUGGAAUCCUCUCAACUAUCCCACGUCAACAUGGAGGUCACGCACGCGCAAUCCCCUCCGGCGGAUCUCGUCGCCGGCCAUGUCGCCCCCACCAUCGCCUAAGGCACCAACGCGUUUGCCUGCAAGCAACAGGGCAACGUUGUCGUGCACGGCGACAAUCCGGCUGGCCCCGUUGGAAAGGCACGCGCGUCGGGCGCCAUUGCUGUUGCUGAGAAUAAAGCCAUGUCCAACCUUCUUGCCGAAAAGAAUAGGAUCAUGACUUUGUACCGUAAUGACAUGAACGACAUCAACAAAGAAUGACAUGAUAUGACAAGGAGAGACAUCUUGAAGAGGUGGAUGCUAGCGUGUUACAGUGGUGGCGAUGUUUUCUCAUUGGGAAUCAGAACCAAUAUCGCCGAUCAUUCCGGUGCCGGAGUUGGAACACGUGUCGGCGAUGGAUUCGGGGGCGACGAUGACCUCCAUGAUGCAUAGUGAAGAGCGACCAAGAUACAUGAAGUCCUUUUGCUUUUGUCUUUUAAAACUAUGCUUCAAUUUUGCGUGCGGACUAUGUUUUAUUGUUUGAAUUUGAACUCAUUUGUUGAGAUCACUGUCAAAUUCGCUUAUUCUGGGUUUUCGGUUUGCGGAUCAACGCGACGACGUUUGAACGGACCCCGCAUAGCCGACUUUGUUCGCGCCCGUGCUGUCUCGUAAAACCGUUUUCCCACAAACUGUAAACGAGUUUUGCGAAUCGGCUUUAUACAGGUAUGCUACAGAUGCUCUUAAUUAGUUAGCUUGGCCAUAACAGCCAGCUUAGGCAGAUGAUGGUUCGAUUCCAUCUCCCGACCGAUCGAUCCAGUGGAACAGCAAACGCACUGUGACUGCCCAACAAACAGACUAGUUUGGCACAAGAGCACUUCUAUGCCGAUCGUACCAGCAAAGUAAUCCCCAUGUGUUAAUUAUAUAUAUAAUUAUAACUAAUAUAAUGAUAUUCACUCCGUAUUUUGCAUGAAACGCUGCUGUUCAAAGAGAGGUCUCUAGCAGUUCAUUUUUUUUUCAGUUUUAGUUAGACGUCGAUGAAAGUCACUGACUGGAUUUUUUUUGAAACAAAAAGUCACUGAUUGGAUUUCACUAGACACAGAAAUAAUCAUGUAUCUUCCGGUCAAAAUGUUUCAGCAGUCUCAGUAGCACACAAUAAUUCAAAUAAACUUCAAUACAUUCUUUGUUUCUUUUCAAAUUAAUGGUUUGGUCUCAACUGAAUGAAUGUUCAGGUCCUUUGGCCGAACGGAGCUCGCCGAAUGUCACUGGUAGUCUAGCUAACAAGCAGAGAGAUAUGUCAAAUAUAUUUAACAAAACAAACCAUCAGCAAUAUGUAUGGAUUAUUUUUGUUUUGUUUUGAUUAAGAAGUGUUUUGAAAUGUUUUUUUACGUUGGGGGUUGGGGCGUGAUGGUGACGGUCGAGGCCUUCUCGUGCCUGUCAUUGUGGCAAUGAGCCGAGUCUUUCAAGCUUUUAGGCCCUGUUUGUACAUCGUUUCUCUUUUAAAUAGCCUUCUCGUGCUUGCUUUUAGGCCUUGUAAACAUUACAUGCCUAGGCCGUUGUUUCACUUCCGGUUUAAAUUUACACCACGGCCAGUAAGUUAUACACAUCGGUAUUAAAAUACAUCCAUUCCAUACACGACUUGAGUGUUGUCUUGCCCUCUUAGGAUCAUCAAUAUUUUGACCCGUCGGUAUGUCCGACUUAAAGUGUACUUGGACCUUUCUAACCCUGCAUACAUCCAUUUGGGUUGUCACAUGAUAAGAUGCACCGUUGUCCGAUCAAAGGCCAUAGUGAUCAGGCCCUGGUUCGUGAGAAGCUUUUUUUAAGUAAAUGAUGCAAAUUUAUUGAUAAAUAGGACAUAGUACAUUAGAUCAAACAAAAACAAAAUCAACAAGAUUAACCAUAAUUAGUUACAUCAAAAUCCUCUAUGCUCAUUGACUUUAGAUCCAUCUUUUGCAUCUCGACUUCUCUCCAUACAUCAGCGAAGAAUGAACAGAAGACAAGCUAGACUAACCAAGAGAAUGCGGGUCAAAAGAACCAAAUCACAUGUAUACUAAUGUGGACAAGCAAGAGCUCAAGUUGUUUUCACCUUUGUAUAGGAGAAAUCAGCAAAUGCGCGGCCACGGAUAAGGAAAGAAAGUAAAACAGAGUUAAAAGGUUACACAAAAGGAUGAUAUCAAUAUUAUAUUAAUAGUGAACGAUUAAAAGUGAUUAUAGUCGCCAUUGCAUAAAAAAAAUAGGAAACAUGAAAUGGCAGGGUCUAUACUGUUCAAGAACACUAGCAAGAAGAUAAUUAAUCACCCAAGUAAACCCCAAAGGGUAGUUUUGAUAAACAGGAAAUGCAUACUUAAAAAGGUCUAGAAAUGUUGAGAAAAUUGCAUAAGGCUUCCAGAAGAUUUUUGAUUAUUGGAGCAUCUCCAACAGGCGCCCAAAAAACUACUCCGCUUGCUAAAAGAUUCGUUUUUUGGCGCUGGACACCUCCAACAGACGCUGCAAAACAGUGCGCGUCCUAAUUUUUUUUGGGCACGCGCUUAAAAAUACUAUUGCGCGCAGCAUAUUUGGUGCGCCGGCUUGCACGCGCAACAAACUCUGAGCUGCUUCAUGUGGGGCCGCUGGAUCGGGCUGGACUGGGCGCCACACUAGCACGCAUCUGUUGAAGAUGCUCCGGUCCCCGCGCUUUAAAAAUGCUACAGUGACGCGCUAAAAAAUUUAUUGAGUGCGGAUUUUUUGCUCUGCGGUUGGAGAUGCUCUUAGACAUUAUAAAGAUGUUUGAGAAAAGAAUCUAGAAGAAACUAAGAACGACCAUGAAAUAUUUAGGAGAAAAACCAUAAGUUUAGAGAAUUUCUAGAGUUGGAUGUUCUAAGUCUUGGAUGUAGAAUAUUUAUAGACUAGAAAUAUUGAGAUAUGAUCAGUUUAUAGAAUUCCAGAGUAAGUUUGUUUAUCAAAGAGAUUCCAGAGUUGGAUAUUUCAUAUCCUGGUCUAUAAUCUUCGUGGAUUAGAAUUUUAAAAAUAUCUAUGCAACAUUACUUUAAAGAAUAUAAAUAAAAUAUGUUACAUAUUGAAUGGUUUGGAUGGUUGCCACUUUUUGUUAAUACAGUUGUAACCCCGCCAAUCUAACUAUGCAAAAUCAUACUAUACCUAUUGAAUAUUUUUUAUUCUGUGCAUUUAACAUGUUUCUAAAUGUACACAUAAUUUUAUUAAUUCCCACUUGCAUAGAAGUGUUGAUCUAAUGUUGUGAUCCAUGCAAGGUUCUAUUUUUUAAAUAUUAUUAAUAAUAGUUUUUACUAUUAUUUGGUACUGGAUUAAAAAUAUUUUACAACAUUGUGAACAAUUAUUCCUAUCAGGUUUGGCUUAGAAUAAAUAUUUAUUGGGUAUAUAAAUAUUACAAUUUAUUUGGACAAAAUAAAUAAAAUAACAUAAUAUGAUGUGCAUUUUUAUAUUUUUCAAUAUUUUUUUAACAUCAACAGAUAAAUAAUAUUGUAUGAACUAUUAAAUACAAAGACAGAGAAAGACGCAUACAAAUGUAUCAUAUUAACUUAAAUACAACCAAUGCUAAUUAUCUAUACUUCUUUUUCACGUGUUAACAAUUAUAAUGCCAAGAAAAAAAAUUGAAUUUGUUUGGAAAGAUAUUAAAUAAUAUUCUUAGACCAAAAAUAAAAAUAUAUCAUAUAGAAUUGAUCUAAUUGUUAAUAAUGAAAUUUGAAAAAAAAUCAAAACAAAAUUUAUAUUUGAUAUGAUAACACGUAUUUAGUACCCACUUAGUUAAAUAUUACAUUAUCUAUAUUUAUUUAAUUUUUCAAAUGUCUGAGCCAUACGUCAUAUUAUUCAGACAAAAUGUCUAGGUUGGGUUUUCUCUUUAUUUAUGCUGUUGAGCCAAACCAAUCGAUUCAUUCACAAUCAGACGCUAUGCACUGUACAAGAUGAUAAAGAGAGGAUGAUUAAGGUUGUUGGAAGUACAAAGCGGAGACACAAUAGCCAAUAUGCUUUCAUAAAAGAAAAUAGAAACAUGGUUAAAGAACACCAUAAUGGAAUUGAUAAACACAUAUCAAUAGAUUUUCUACAAAAAUUAUACAUGGAUGAUCAUAAUCCUGGUCACUAGAUCAUUUUUAGGAUGAUCAUGUGUAUGUACUCUCUUUGGCCAGAUUCAGUCUGUCCAGCCUCAACAUUAUGUUUGCAGUUUUUCCACUGCAUAAAAGCACACUUGAGAGAGAUAACUACGUAGCGAGCAAAUAAAUCAUCGCCAAAAAUAUUUUCUAGCGGAAUCACCAAAUUAUACUUACAUAUUCCCUCUGUAAAAAAAAUAUAUUUCUGUAGAUCGCUAUAUUUCUUUACGAAGGAAGUAGUAUUUUUUUAGACAUACACACACUUGUAAUGUGAGAACCAUAGACAGUUGAACAGGCCGGGGCCGGAACACCUUUUGAAGUUAACGUGGGAAGCCCAGUCCAGGAUUGCGCCUCGCCAUUGAAAGCCCAUUGUGAAUAACUAGGGCCUCUCAAAGCUGGUUAGGCCGACCGGAGGCGAGAGAGGGUCAGCCAUGGCGGCGGUGGAUCUGUCGAAGCUGGUGAAGGAGAAGCGGUUCUGGGCGGCCUCCUUCCUCAUCGCGUGGGCGGCGGCGCUACAGGUUCCGUGUCACCUCAUCCCCCCUUCCCCUUUGCUCCAGUCCAGAAAUGAACCAAAAAAAGUCGGGAUCUUUAACCGCGGCAGGGGAAAUGGUACUGUUUGCAGGGGCACAUGAUGUGGUUGAAGCGGCAAGACGCCUUCAAGGACAAGUUCGGCGACCCCGAGGCCCCCAACAAGGUCACCGAGCAGCCGCCCGACGACACCACCACCAGACUCGCCGGCGAGCAGGGGGAGCUCACCGCCGACGCCGAGAUCAGAUAGGUAGCUACUAGGUAGAUGGACGAGUACGGGAUCCUUCUUUUAUUUUGCCCUGUUUUCCUUGACGGAUCAAUCACCAUGGGGGCGUCUAGCUCUGUCUCUGUAAUUUAGUAAUACUUCUUGGCAGUGCAAGCUUGCUCACAUAAAUAAUGUUUGCUUGUUAAAGUACCUGCUGUCUCUCCGGAGGUAGGAGGUGGCCGGUGUUCAUCGCGGCUAAUUAGUGCUUUUCUUAAUCUUGUCAGCAUCAAAUUAUCAUCAUCCCAAAGCUGCUCUGCUUGGCCUCAGCCUGACUACAUCACAAGUCAAAACUUAGGGUACUCUCAGCCCUGCCUGACUAACUGAAUGAUGGAAUGCGGUUUCUGUCUGUCUGUUUCUUUAGCCUCCUCUCCGGCCUCAUUGAAUGUUGGAUUUCAGUUUCUGUUUGAUUUUCUUGUCUCAACUAUCAAAGCAGAUACUUGAUGCUUACAACUCCAUAAGAAAUCCGGGGGUGUUUGUUUUACUAGUUAUUACUACCUCUGUACCGAAAUACUUGCAGCUGGGGGAAACUAGUACAAGUUCCCCCAACUACAAGUAUUUCGGUACAGAGGAAGUAGAAGUAACCAUCCCAAAGCUUUGCUUGGGCUUACUUCAUCUCAGCCAGAAGCUUCUCAAUCCUGCCUCACUCCCUCUCUCAUUCUCUACUGCAGUUUCUGAUUGACCUAUCUUUAUCUCAUUUCCCAAAGCAGACCGGCCAUUGUAAAUCUGGGAGUGUUCUCUAGUCAUGUGUAACAACUUGUUAUGAGUAAGAACUAAGAACCUGUAAUCUCAGAACCAUCCUUUUAUGUUGCCCUGCUUUCCUAGAUUGACCGAUGACCAGGGGGCGUGUAUCUUUGUGUACUGAGUAGCACUGGCAGUGCAAGCCUGCUAACAUAAAUUGAUAAAUAAUGUUUGUCUGUUAGACUAACGUUGUUUAUCACGGCUAAUUAGGGUUUCACUUAUCCUGUCAACAUUGAAUUAUCAGCAUACCAAAGCUGCUACAUCUCACUCGGCAGCAGCUUCUCUAUCCUGCCCCACUCUAUGAAUGGAUGGCAAUCUCUGUUUGAUUUCCUUAUCUGAAUUCUGGGCUGCAAUCCCCAAACAGACCAUUGUCUGCUCAGGAUUUCAGAAGAGAAUCCGGGGAGUGUAUUCCUGUGAGUGAUGAGUAAGAAGAGAAACUUGUUUGGUUCGGUCACCGGGUCAGUGGUUAGCUGCCCCAUGGUGCUAUUAGUGUGUUACUGCACCUGAAAUUACGACCUUAUUCCGAAUUCCACCAGCUCUGUGAAAUCCCAGGAGCUGUGAAGCUAGGAAAUAGGUGCUCCGCGUUUUUCUAUUGUAACUCCACCUGCUCCCGGAGUGGAGGUACUCCGAACAGGGCCUACAUCUCUUGCCUCACAGUCCUCACGGAGCUGCAAUUUCUAAGUACAAGCACAAGCUUGGAGUUACAAAUGCCUUCAAACACAAGCUUGGAGACCCCGACGUCCCCCAUCAAGGCAACAGAGCACGGGCAGCCGCUGACCAGUGAGCAGGAGAAGCUCACCACCGACGCUGAGUACAGAACUUCAGAUAGGUAAGUAGAAGGAUGAGAACGAGAUCCCUGAUUUCCUUUCUCUCUUGUUACUCUAGACCUGGCGGUCACCAAAGCAUCUAGCUCUGUAAUUAGUACAGGUAGUGCAAGCUUGCUCACAUAAUUAGUGCUUCUCUUAAUCGUAUCAACGUUAACUAAAUAUUAUCCCAAAGGCUACAUUGCUUUGCUUGGCCUCAGUACUACAUCACGGUCAGCAGUAGCCUCCUCUUGGCUCUGCUCGACUCACCGAGUGAUGUUUUGCAGUUUAUGUUUGGCUUUCUUACCACAACUCCCAGGGCAGGGCAACCCCAAAGCAGAUCAUUGUCUUGUAUUUAUUAUAGUUUCAGAAGGAAUUGUGAGUGCUUUCUGUUGAUGCAUAACAAGUGCCUGCGAUUUUCUCCAUGAUUAGAUGAAUCUUUAGCUAUGCAGGCAAGUCAGAUAGGUGGCUGAGAGCUCAUCGCCGACACAGAGUUCAGAUGGGUCAAUGGGUACAUGGAUGAGAACCAGAUGACCCUUUUACAUCACCCUGUUUUCCUUGACCGAUCAAUCACCAGGGCCGUCUAGCUCUGUGUAAUUAGUAGUUCUUGGCAGUGCAAGCUUGCUCACAUAAAUAACAUUUGGUUGUUAUAGUACCACUUAGGAGCUGUUCGCCAAUCCGCCAGCUCCGUGAAAUCCUAGGAUCUGCGGAGCAUCUGCUUCCACGCUCCGCGAUUUUCAACUGCAGCUUCGCCUGCUCCAGGAGUGGAGUCGUGGAGGGACUCCGAACAGGCUCUUAAUCUUUUGAACACUGAAUUAUCAACAAUCCAAAGCUGCUCUGCUUGGCCUCUGCCUACCUACAUCACACAACAGGAGCCUCCUCUCGGCUCUGCCUGACUCACUGAAUGUUGAAUUGCAGUUUCUGUUUGGUCUUCUUAUCUGAAGUACCAAAACAGAUAAUUGAUGUUUCUUUUAGUUACGAGUCCCAAAGCUUUGCUUUGGCUUACAUCAUCUCAGCCAGCAGCUCCCCAGUCCUGCCCGACUAUCUCACUCCCUGAAUAAACUGCAGUUUCUGAUUGGUUUUUCUUAUCUCUGACCCCCAAAACAGACAUGCUGCUUUUCUUCAUAAUGGCUAUUUAGGACUUAGCUUAUCCUGUGAUUGAAUUAUCAUCAUCCCAAAUCCGCUUUGCUUGGGCUUACUGCUUCUCACUCAGCAGCAGCUUCUCAAUCCUGUCCCACUCAAUGAAUGGAUUGCAAUUUCUGUUUGGUUUUCUUGUCUGAAUGCUGAGCUGCAAUCCCAAAACAGAUCAUCUCUGCUCAGGAUUUCAGAUGAGAAUCCAGGCAGUGUAUUCUCUGCCUGAGUACCCAAUGUUGGAUGGCAGUUUCUGUUUGGUUGUCCUCUAAUCUGAACUACCAAAAUAGAUUAUUGAUGUUUACGGUUUCAAUAGAAGCCUGGGUGUGUUUUUUUAGUCAUGGCCGGAGUAACCAUCCCAAAGCUUUGCUUGGGUUUACAUCAUCUCAGCCAGCAAUUUCUGACUUCAAUCCUGCCCCACUCACUCAGUCUCUGACUGAAUUGCAGUUUCAGACCUCAUCUCCUUGUCGAUCCUUAUCUUCAAUGAUCCUGCGGAUCCAUAACUUGAAGGUGAUCUUCGACUGAAGUCUUACUGGAGCAUCAUGCGAUCACCAAGUAGUAGGACUUGUCUGAUCGUCUGGUUCAUGCGCAUGUUUGAAAGCUGGUCAUCCUUCAAAAAAAGAUGCACAGGAGCAUAUACACUAAUAGUACGAAACAAGGGAAAGAAAGUUGUACAAAUUUAACUAGUGCCAAGCGACCAGUAUGAAAAAUAUUGAGUUGCUGUCUCAAAUGCAAAUUCCAUUUGUAGAAACAAAAUGAAUUUGCUGUCUCAAAUAAUUACUGAUAGUGGUACCACACACUGAAUCUGUGGAGAUGGCCGCGUCUGGUGACCGACGGACGCCAGACGGACGAACAGAACAGGUAGUCGUGUCGUGUAACGAAUUUUAGCACGCCUAAUUGUUUUUAUAGAACAGGUCGCCGUGCCGUGAUGUAUUUUCAAUCGAUACAUUACAUGUGAGUAUAUUGAUUUUGGGAUACAUCACAUGUGAGUAUAUUGAUUUUGGGUAUAUAAAUUUCGAGUAUGUCACAUUUUAAUUAUAUUCGUGAGGUAUGUCUGGGUAUACAAACUUGGGGUAUGUCUACGGUAUCAUUUACGGGUAUGACUCAGUUACUGAAACGAGUAUACAUGUAUAUACAUAUCUAAAAGUAACAAAAAGUGAUAAAUAUAAAGAAUAUAUUUGGGUAUAUACAUAAAUUCAGGCAUGCCAUACACUUGGGUAUAUUGAUAUGCAACGACGGUCAAAAUGAGAUAAAUAUAUAGGAGACAUACAUGACAACGAUUGAUAUUAGUUUUGGAAAGCAAACAUUGCCUAUUGAAAGUGGUAGUGCAUGCAAAUAAAACAUGGAAACCCAUUAUUUCGUGGAUUUUGUUACAUGCAGUAACGACUAUAACUUGCCAUAAUGGACAUAGGUGCCCAGAAACCGUACAUAUGUAUAUAUUUGGGGCACCUAGGUUGUUAGGCACCUAGCAUUUAAUAGCUCGUGUGUCAAUUCAUUAGCAUUUGUUGAUUUGGAAAGAAUUAAAACACACAUUAAUUGAAGAGAGAAAAUAACAAAAUAAAUGGAAAUAUAUAUAUAUGUUUCCAUGCAUCAUUUUUUAUCGAUGUAUACAUGCAUGCGACCUUCUACCCACAUAUGAAAAUACGUAUACACAAAAAUUGAUAACUUCAUGAGUUUUACUUAAUAAAAUGUUUUUAUUAUUUAAAUAAAAAUAUUGUGCAUUGACUUCAAAUCAUAAAGAUAUACAAAUGGUAUAUAAUACCUAUUAUAGAGACACACGGCUAUAUUAACUAACCGCUCCUAGAAGCUAGCAUGCAUAUCGCACGCUAUUGGUGUUGGAACGAAUCUUCAUGAGCAGCGUAAACGGUCUGCACAUGAUGUCAAAUGCUCGUCGGAUCCCUUGCUCCCGUUUCGCUCGCUCCUAUGGACAUCUUCUCCGACACCUUUGGCGGCACCAAUAUGUUCAUUUUUGGAUCAUAAACCGGAUGAUACACGCAUACACGGUGGAAAGGAAACACGGGAAGGCACGUAUGCCAAAUAUUUUGCCGCACUCGUGAGUUGUAAUUUUUUGAAUUUGUUGGUUUUUGUUUUUUAUUUUAUUUUUGGGAAAUAAUUAGCCGGAUACCCACUUAUGAUUUUAACUAUUAUAAUUUUCUAUUAUGCUUAAAAAGGAUAAACACAUAACACUCCUACCAUAUGUUGAGAUAUUAUGAUUUGUGAUAUACAGUUAAACAUUUUGGUUGCAAAAUAUAUUACAAAAAAAAUCUGUUAAUUAAUUCACUUUCAGUGAAGUGGCUUCGUAAAAAAACUUCAAUUUAAUCGAGUAUCCUAAACUAAUGGGAACCAAAAACAUAAUAUGCCUCCACCGAUUAAUUAGAGACCUUAUGAAUCAUAGUGUGUACACACAUGUAUUCAGGUCCAUAUUUUUGCAUCCUUAAAACUGAAUGAAUACCGGCCAAUAAAUACUCCGGUAGAGGUUUCUAGAGUGUAUGGUUGUUUAUCCUAUGUGCUAAUAAGUAUAAAAUAUUGAGUAUAUGUUUUCGAUACUAAAUCUAAAAAAAAUAUGGAAUGUUCCAAAGCGUACAAAGUGUUGUCCAGAUUUGUCCUCUAAUAUUUGGUGUUGCUUGUUAAUGUAUUGGUUUUUUGUGAUGAGAUCUUCAAAAUAACAGAAUUGCUAAGUUAUGAAAUUUAUAAACCGUAGUCUUCAAAUUACGGAAUUACAAAUAAUUUGUUAAUCUCAACAAUUUUUGGUAGACUAUGACAAUGCACAUGAAUUUUCACAUGUGAAAGCUCAGGAAAGCCUUCAAGUGUGUCGCGGCAGUCGCUAAAGCUCACAUGCAUCAUACCUUUCUGUUGAACACCUUGUGAUUCACCAAUCUAUGUGCUCUGCUGGCAUGUGACCAGGCUUAGGAUUCAACAACCAAAUAGGAAAGACAUAUUCAAACACUUUCAAAAAUACUUCUAUAAUUGGUGAGAAAGUUGCAAAAGACUUCUAGAAGACUUCUAGAACACUUUCAAAGCGGAGCAAUUCUCGCUACACGAUCGGUAGACAGUGAAUAAGAGGAAAGGAAAACAGAAAAGCUGCUCAUUGUUCGCAGCACAAAACCUCGCUGUCCCUCGUGUUCUUCCCGUUCUUCACACCAAAUCAACAACAACAGGGUGCACUCAUGAUGUCUACUAAGCAACUUUAUUCUUGUAGACUUGUGUUGGGCCUCCAAACAUAGAGUUUUGUAGGACAGUAACAAUUUUCCUCAAGUGGAUGACCUAAGGUUUAUCAAUCCGUGGGAGACAUAGAAUGAAGAUGGUCUCUCUCAAACAACCCUGCAACCAAAUAAUAAAAAGUCCCUUGUAUCUCAGGAUGUAAGUGGGAUGUUUGCUGGACGCUCUUGGACUUGGCCACAUUGCCCAUCACAUUUUACGUGGGAUUAAGUGGUAGCCCAGUUAAUUUUUAUGUGGGACUUAUGACAUCCAUAUACUGCAACAUUCAUACUUUUUCAUAUAAAAAUACUCUAAAUCUUUCUUCAGAAAAAAAUAUACUUUCUGAGAUAAAAAUUGUUGGGGAACGUCGCAUGGGAAACAAAAAAUUUCCUACGCGCACGAAGACCUAUCAUGGUGAUGUCCAUCUACGAGAGGGGAUUUCCAAUCUACGUACCCUUGCAGAUCGCACAGCAGAAGCGUUAGUGAACGCGGUUGAUGUAGUGGAACGUGCUCAUGUCCCUCGAUCCGCCCCGCGAACCGUCCCACGAACCGUCCCGCGAUCCGUCCCACGAUCUAGUGCUGAAGGGACAGCACCUCCGCGUUCAGCACACGUACAGCUCGACGAUGAUCUCGGCCUUCUUGAUCCAGCAAGAGAGACCGAGAGGUAGAAGAGUUCUCCGGCAGCGUGACGACGCUCCGGAGGUUGGUGAUGAUCUAAUCUCGGCAGGGCUCCGCCCGAGCUCCGCAGAAACGCGAUCUAGAGGAAAAACCGUGGAGGUAUGUGGUCGGGCUGCCGUGGCAAAAGUUGUCUCAAAUCAGCCCUAAUACCUCAGUAUAUAUAGGAGGGAGGGGGAGGGAAGAGGCAGCCUCAAACCCUCAAGGUUUGGCCGAAAUUGGAGGUGGAGGAGUCCUACUCCAAUCCUAGUUGGAGUAGGAUUUCACCUUCCCACUUGGAAACUCUUACCACCUUGUGUUUUUUCCUUCUCAAACCUUAUGGGCCUUAGUGGGAACUUAUUCCAGCCCACUAGGGGCUGGUUUAUCUCUUUCCAUAGCCCAUGAGACCCCUUGGGGCGUGACACCCCUCCCGAUGGUUCCCGGCACCCCUCCCGGCACUCCCGGUACACUACCGAUGAGCCCGAAACUUUUCCGGUGACCAAAACAGGACUUCCUAUAUAUCAAUCUUUACCUCCGGACCAUUCCGGAGCUCCUCGUGACGUCCUGGAUCUCAUCCGGGACUCCGAACAACAUUCGGUAACCAACCUUAUAACUCAAAUUCGCAUAAAACAACGUCGAACCUUAAGUGUGCAGACCCUGCGGGUUCGAGAACUAUGUAGACAUGACCCGAGUGACUCCUCGGUCAAUAUCCAAUAGCGGGACCUGGAUGCCCAUAUUGGAACCUACAUAUUCUACAAAGAUCUUAUCGUUUGAACCUCAGUGCCAAGGAUUCAUAUAAUCCCGUAUGUCAUUCCCUUUGUCCUUCGGUAUGUUACUUGCCCGAGAUUCGAUCGUCAGUAUCCGCAUACCUAUUUCAAUCUCGUUUACCGGCAAGUCUCUUUACUCGUUCCGUAAUACAAGAUCCCGCAACUUACACUAAGUCACAUUGCUUGCAAGGCUUGUGUGUGAUGUUGUAUUACCGAGUGGGCCCCGAGAUACCUCUCCGUCACACGGAGUGACAAAUCCCAGUCUCGAUCCAUACUAACUCAACUAACACCUUUGGAGAUACCUGUAGAGCAUCUUUAUAGUCACCCAGUUACGUUGCGACGUUUGAUACACACAAAGCAUUCCUCCGGUGUCAGUGAGUUAUAUGAUCUCAUGGUCAUAGGAACAAAUACUUGACACGCAGAAAACAGUAGCAACAAAAUGACACGAUCAACAUGCUACGUCUAUUAGUUUGGGUCUAGUCCAUCACAUGAUUCUCCUAAUGAUGUGAUCCCGUUAUCAAGUAACAACACUUGCCUAUGGCCAGGAAACCUUGGCCAUCUUUGAUCAACGAGCUAGUCAACUAGAGGCUUACUAGGGACAGUGUUUUGUCUAUGUAUCCACACAAGUAUUGUGUUUCCAAUCAAUACAAUUAUAGCAUGGAUAAUAAACAAUUAUCUUGAACAAAGAAAUAUAAUAAUAACUAAUUUAUUAUUGCCUCUAGGGCAUAUUUCCAACAGUCUCCCACUUGCACUAGAGUCAAUAAUCUAGUUCACAUCACCAUGUGACUCCAACGAAUCCAACACCCAUAUAGUUACGGGGUCUGAUCACGUCUUGCUCAUGAGAGAGGUUUUAGUCAACGGUUCUGAAUUUUCAGAUCCGUGUGUUCUUUACAAAUCUUUAUGUCAUCUUAUAGAUGCUGCUACUAUGUGCUAUUCGGAAAUACUCCAAAUAUCUACUCUACUAUACGAAUCCGUUUCACUACUCAUAGUUAUUCGGAUUAGUGUCAAAGCUUACAUCGACGUAACCCUUUACGACGAACUCUUUAACCACCUCCAUAAUCGAGAAAAAUUCCUUAGUCCAUCAGUUACUAAGGAUAAAUUUUGACCGCUGGUAGUGAUUCAAUCAUGGAUCACUCUCUGUACCUCUCAACAGGCUUGCUGCAAGGCACACAGUCAGGUGCGGUACUCAGCAUGGCAUACUUUAGAGUCUACGACUAAGGCAUAGAAGACGACCUUCCUCUAUUCUCUUUAUUCUGCCGUGGUCGGGUUUUGAGUCUUACUCAAAUUCACACCUUACAACGCAACCAAGAACUCCUUCUUUGCUGAUCUAUUUUGAACUCCUUCAAAACUUGUCAAGACAUGCAUCUUGUUGAAACUUCCAUUAAGCGCUUUUGAUCUAUCUCCAUAGAUCUUUGAUGCUCAACGUUCAAGUAGCUCAAUCCAGGUAUUCGUUUGAAAAAUCCUUUCAGACAACCUUGUAUGCUUUACAGAAAUUCUACAUUACUUCUGAUCCACAAUAUGUCAACCACAUAUACUUAUCAGAAAUUCUAUAGUGCUCCCACUCACUUCUUUGGAAAUACAAGUUUCUCAUAAACCUUGUACAAACCCAAAAUCCUUGAUCAUCUCAUCAAAGUGUAUAUUCCAACUCCGAGAUGCUUGCACCAGUCCAUUUAAGGAUCGCUGGAGCUUGCAUACUUGCUAGUAUCUUUAGGAUCGACAAAACCUCAUGGUUGUAUCUCAUACAAUGUUUGCUCAAGGAAACCGUCGAGGAAACAAUGUUUUGACAUCCUACAUGCAAUAUUUCAUAAAUAAUGCAGCAACUACUAACAUAAUUCUAACAGACUUUUAGCAUCGCUACGAGUGAGAAAGUCUCAUCAUAGUCAACUGUUUGAUCUUGUCAGAAACAUCUUUGCGACAAGUCGAGCUUUUCUUAAUAGUGACUUAUCACCAUCGUCGUCUGUCUUCCUUACAAAGAUCCAUCUUUACUCAAUAGCCUUACUACCAUCAAGUAGUUCCUCCAAAGUCUACACUUUGUUUUAUAUAUGGAUCCUCUCUCGGAUUUCAUGGCUUCCAGCCAUUUGUCAGAAUCUGGGCCCACCAUUGCUUUCUCCAUAACUCGUAGGUUCACUGUUGCUCAACAACAUGACCUCCAAGACAGGGUUACCGUACCACUCUGUAGUAGUACACGACCUUGUCAACCUACGAGGCUUGUAGUAACUUGAUCCGAUGCUCGAUGAUCACCAUCAUCAGCUUUCACUUCAAUUGGUGUAGGCGCCACAGGAACAACUUCCUGCGCCCUGCUACACACUGGUCGAAGUGAUGGUUCAAUAACCUCAUCAAGUUCUACUACCCUCCCAUUCAAUUCUUUCGAGAGAAACCUUUCCUCGAGAAAGGAUCCGUUUCUAGAAACAAACACUUUGCUUUCGGAUCUGAGAUAGGAGAUGUACCCAACUGUUUUGGAUAUCCUAUGAAGAUGCAUUUAUCCACUUUGGGUUCGAGCUUAUCAGACUGAAACUUUUUCACAUAAGUGUCGAAACCCCAAACUUUCAAGAAACGACAGUUUAGAUUUCUCUAAACCUCAGUCUAUACUGUGUCAUCUCAACGGAAUACGUGAUGCCCUAUUUAAAGUGAAUGCGGUUGUCUCUAAUGCUUAACCCAUAAACGAUAGUGGUAAUUUGAUAAGAGACAUCAUAGCAUGCACCAUACCAAAUAGUGUGUGGCUAUGACGUUCAGACACAUCAUCACACUAUGAUGUUCUAGGUGGCAUGAACUGCGAAACAAUUUCCACAUUGUCUUAACUGCGUACCAAAACUCGUAACUCAGAUAUUCAUUUCUAUGAUCAUAUCAUAGACAGUUUAUCCUCUUGUUACGACAAACUUCACUCCGAAACAGAAUUGAACUUUUCAAUAUUUCAGACUUGUGAUUCAUUAAGCAAAUACUCUAGUAUCUACUCAAAUCGUCAUUGAAGCAAGAACAUAAUGAUAUCCACUGCGUGCCUCAGCACCCAUUGGACUGCAUACAUCAAAAUGUAUCACUUCCAACAAGUUACUAUCUUAUUUCAUCUCAAUGAAAACAAGGCCUUUCUCAUGUGGUAUGAUUUGCAUGUCAGCAGUGAUUCAAAAUCAAGUGAGUAUAAAGAUCCAUCAGCAUGGAGCCUCUUUAUGCAAUUUAUACCAACAUGACUCAAGCGGCAGUGCCACAAGUAAGUGGUACUAUCAUCAUUACCUCGUAUCUUUUGGCACCAAUAUCAUGAACAUGUGUAACACUACGAUCGAGAUUCAAUAAACCAUUGAAGGUGAUUAUUCAAGAAAAUAGAGUAACCAUUAUUCUCUUUAAAUGAAUAAUCGUAUUGCAAUAAACAUGAUCCAAUCAUGUUCAUGCUUAACGCAAGCACCAAAUAACAAUUAUUUAGGUUUAACACCAAUCCCGAUGGUAGAGGGAGCGUGCGACGUUUGAUCAUAUCAACCUUGGAAACACUUCCAACACGUAUCGUCACCUCGCCUUUAGCUAGUCUCCGUAUAUGCCGUAGCUUUCAUUUCAUGUUACUAAUCACUUAGCAACCGAACCGGUAUCCAAUACCCUCAUGCUACUAGGAGUACUAGUAAAGUACACAUCAACAUCAUGUAUAUCAAAUAUACUUCUUUCGACUUUUGCCAGCCUUCUUAUCUACCAAGUAUCUAGAGUUGCUCCGCCUCAGUGACUGUUCCCCUCAUUACAGAAGCACUUAGUCUCGGGUUUGGGUUUAAUCUUGGGUCUCUUCAUUAGUGCAGCAACUGUUUUGCCAUUUCACGAAGUAUCCCUUCUAGCCCUUGCCUUUCUUGAAACUUAGUGGUUUUACAAACCAUCAACUAUUGAUGCUCCUUCUUGAUUUCUACUUUCGCAGUGUCAAACAUCGCGAAUCGCUCAAGGAUCAUUGUAUCUAUCCUUGAUAUGUUAUAGUUCAUCACGAAGCUCUCACAGCUUGGUGGCAGUGACUUUGGAGAACCAUCACUAUCUCAUCUGGAAGAUUAACUCCCACUUGAUUCAAGUGAUUGUCGUGCUCAGACAAUCUGAGCACACGCUCAACGAUUGAGCUUUUCUCCUUUACUUUGUGGACAAAGAAUCUUGUCGAAGGUCUCGUACCUCUCAACAAGGGCACGAGCAUGAAAUCACAAUUUCAUCUCUUUAGAACAUCACUUAUGUUCCGUGACGUUUCAAAACGUCUUCGGUGCCUUGCUUCUAAGCCAUUAAGUAUUUUGCACUGAACUAUCGUGUAGUCAUCAGAAACGUGUAUGUCGGAUGUUCACAGCAUCCACAGACGACGCUCGGGGUGCAGCACACCGAGUGGUGCAUUAAGGACAUAAGCCUUCUGCGCAGCAACGAGGACAAUCCUCUUCAAAGUUUGCUACUAUCAACUUUCAACUAAAAUUUCUCUAGGAACAUAUAAAAACAGUAGAGCCAUAGCGCAAGCUACAUCGUAAUUCGCAAAGACCAUUAGACUAUGUUCAUGACAAUUAGUUCAAUUAAUCAUAUUACUUAAGAACUCCCACUCAAAAAGUACAUCUCUCUAGUCAUUUGAGUGGUACAUGAUCCAAAUCCACUAUCUCAAGUCCGAUCAUCACGUGAGUCGAGAAUAGUUUCAGUGGUAAGCAUCUCUAUGCUAAUCAUAUCAACUAUACGAUUCAUGCUCGACCUUUCGGUCUCAUGUGUUCCGAGGCCAUGUCUGCACAUGCUAGGCUCGUCAAGUUUAACCCGAGUGUUCCGCGUGUGCAACUGUUUUGCACCCGUUGUAUGUGAACGUUGAGUCUAUCACACCCGAUCAUCACGUGGUGUCUCGAAACGAAGAACUGUCGCAACGGUGCACACUCGGGGAGAACACAAUUUCGUCUUGAAAUUUUAGUGAGAGUUCACCUCAUAAUGCUACCGUCGUUCUAAGCAAGAUAAGGUGCAUAAAGGAUUAACAUCACAUGCAAUUCAUAAGUGACAUGAUAUGGCCAUCAUCAUGUGCUUCUUGAUCAUCAUCACCAAAGCACCGGCACGAUCUUCUUGUCACCGGCGUCACACCAUGAUCUCCAUCAUCAUGAUCUCCAUCAACGUGUCGCCAUCGGGGUUGUCGUGCUACUCAUGCUAUUACUACUAAAGCUACGUCCUAGCAAUAUAGUAAACGCAUCUGCAAGCACAAACGUUAGUUUAAAGACAACCCUAUGGCUCCUGCCGGUUGCCGUACCAUCGACUUGCAAGUCGAUAUUAACUAUUACAACAUGAUCAUUUCAUACAUCCAAUAUAUCACAUCACAUCGUUGGCCAUAUCACAUCACAAGCAUACCCUACAAAAACAAGUUAGACGUCCUCUAAUUUUGUUGUUGCAUGUUUUACGUGGUGAUCAUGGGUAUCUAGUAAGAUCGCAUCUUACGUAAACACCACAACGGAGAUAUAUGAAUUGCUAUUUAACCUCAUCCAAGGACCUCCUCGGUCAAUUCCGAUUCAACUAAAGUUGGAGAAACUGACACCCGCCAGUCAUCUUUGAGCAACGGAGUUACUCGUAGCGAUGAAACCAGUCUCUCGUAAGCGUACGAGUAAUGUCGGUCCGAGCCGCUUCGAUCCAACAAUACCGUGGAAUCAAGAAAAGACUAAGGAGGGCAGCAAAACGCACAUCACCGCCCACAAAAACUUUUGUGUUCUACUCGAGAAGACAUCUACGCAUGAACCUAGCUCAUGAUGCCACUGUUGGGGAACGUCGCAUGGGAAUCAAAAAAUUUCCUACGCGCACGAAGACCUAUCAUGGUGAUGUCCAUCUACGAGAGGGGAUUUCCAAUCUACGUACCCUUGCAGAUCGCACAGCAGAAGCGUUAGUGAACGCGGUUGAUGUAGUGGAACGUGCUCACGUCCCUCGAUCCGCCCCGCGAACCGUCCCACGAACCGUCCCGCGAUCCGUCCCACGAUCUAGUGCUGAACGGACAACACCUCCGCGUUCAGCACACGUACAGCUCGACGAUGAUCUCGGCCUUCUUGAUCCAGCAAGAGAGACGGAGAGGUAGAAGAGUUCUCCGGCAGCGUGACGGCGCUCCGGAGGUUGGUGAUGAUCUAAUCUCGGCACGGCUCCUCCCGAGCUCCGCAGAAACGCAAUCUAGAGGAAAAACCGUGGAGGUAUGUGGUCGGGCUGCCAUGGCAAAAGUUGUCUCAAAUCAGCCCUAAUACCUCAGUAUAUAUAGGAGGGAGGGGGAGGGAAGAGGCAGCCUCAAUCCCUCAAGGUUUGGCCGAAAUUGGAGGUGGAGGAGUCCUACUCCAAUCCUAGUUGGAGUAGGAUUCCACCUUCCCACUUGGAAACUCUUUCCACCUUGUGUUUUUUCCUUCUCAAACCUUAUGGGCCUUAGUGGGAACUUAUUCCAGCCCACUAGGGGCUGGUUUAUCUCUUCCCAUAGCUCAUGAGACCCCUUGGGGCGUGACACCCCUCCCGAUGGUCCCCGGCACCCCUCCCGGCACUCCCGGUACACUACCGAUGAGCCCGAAACUUUUCCGGUGACCAAAACAGGACUUCCUAUACAUCAAUCUUUACCUCCGGACCAUUCCGGAGCUCCUCGUGACGUCCUGGAUCUCAUCCGGGACUCCGAACAACAUUCUCUAACCAACCAUAUAACUCAAAUACGCAUAAAACAACGUCGAACCUUAAGUGUGCAGACCCUGCGGGUUCGAGAACUAUGUAGACAUGACCCGAGUGACUCCUCGGUCAAUAUCCAAUAGCGGGACCUGGAUGCCCAUAUUGGAUCCUACAUAUUCUACGAAGAUCUUAUCGUUUGAACCUCAGUGCCAAGGAUUCAUAUAAUCCCGUAUGUCAUUCCCUUUGUCCUUCGGUAUGUUACUUGCCCGAGAUUCGAUCGUCAGUAUCCGCAUACCUAUUUCAAUCUCGUUUACCGGCAAGUCUCUUUACUCGUUCCGUAAUACAAGAUCCCGCAACUUACACUAAGUCACAUUGCUUGCAAGGCUUGUGUGUGAUGUUGUAUUACCGAGUGGGCCCCGAGAUACCUCUCCGUCACACGGAGUGACAAAUCCCAGUCUCGAUCCAUACUAACUCAACUAACACCUUUGGAGAUACCUGUAGAGCAUCUUUAUAGUCACCCAGUUACGUUGCGACGUUUGAUACACACAAAGCAUUCCUCCGGUGUCAGUGAGUUAUAUGAUCUCAUGGUCAUAGGAACAAAUACUUGACACGCAGAAAACAGUAGCAACAAAAUGACACGAUCAACAUGCUAGUCUAUUAGUUUGGGUCUAGUCCAUCACAUGAUUCUCCUAAUGAUGUGAUCCCGUUAUCAAGUAACAACACUUGCCUAUGGCCAGGAAACCUUGGCCAUCUUUGAUCAACGAGCUAGUCAACUAGAGGCUUACUAGGGACAGUGUUUUGUCUAUGUAUCCACACAAGUAUUGUGUUUCCAAUCAAUACAAUUAUAGCAUGGAUAAUAAACGAUUAUCAUGAACAAAGAAAUAUAAUAAUAACUAAUUUAUUAUUGCCUCUAGGGCAUAUUUCCAACAAAAAUACUAUCCAUAUAUUGCAACAAAAUAGUAUUUCUUAGAUAAAAAUACUCUGAAUCUCUCUUCAAAUUAAACAUCUCUCUACCACUUACACUCUCUCAGAUAAUAAUUAAACUACAGGAUAAAAUUCAUACUUUCAUAGUACAAGAAAGAGCAAAAUCUACAAAGCAACAACAACUUGCACCAUGAAUCAAGCAUUUUUUUGUAGAUGAAAUGUAUGCUUCCAUCUCAUUUCCUCAUAACCAGGUCCCAAGAGUGCAGCAAAAUACCACCAGAACCAAAAAGAGCGUGAAGUCAGCCAAAAUGGUGAGGACCCUCUAGAUCCACCGGAACCAGAACCUACUUACAUUUUCCCUACUAGCGUUGUCUCAGAACCACAAAAUGAUCAUGUCGGCGACCGUCUGACAGGUCAGGUCGAGGAGCCCCUUGAUGUCUAGGUAGUUCGCAGCCUGUCAAGGCAAAUGAAAGCAAUCAAUGUCAAGCAUCACACUAAACAUAUACAUAUAAGAACAGGAGCAUCAGACAUAGUAGAUCAAUCCAUUAUCGGCAGGAGACAGAGCUUCACUUCAUAUUUAAGAAACAGAGUAUUUAAUUUGCCCAUCAACAACUGCAAAGCAGACGAGGUAUUAAGUAAUUGAACCUGACAUUAUUCAAAAAGAUGAAAAUAUGCAUACGUUGACACAAUGGCAUGUAGAUCAGAAUUGAUCCCAAUCAAGUGUAUUUAAUUUCGUGCAGCACAAGCUAAGUUACAGCGUGAAGCACAUGUAAACACAUACUCGAAAGUAAGUUCACUGUCCUUAACUUCUCAAUAUAAAAUAUUAUUAUGUUGUCCAUAGCUACUCCCAAUGAUGGCAAAAAUUGGCUCAGGUCUCAAACAUGUAGUUAGCAUGCAGAGGCUGGCAGAACAUUCCACCCUAAACACAAUGCAAGGUAUUCAUCAAAAGACUAAUAGCUUGCAGAGGUAACUAUACGAGACCUGUCUUUGCUAUAAGAAGCAGAUAAUGCUUUAGGUUGCGAGGGCAGAAGUAUCUACAUCAUAGGAAUAGUAGCAACUGAAAUUUAGAGAACCCCAAGCAUUACUGACUCACCUAUCCUGGCCCCUUAUCUGCAACGGCUUGGUCGUGACAAAAAAACACGGCAUGAGAUAUCCAAACUAAAGAAAAGAAAGCGGUGUAACUAGUGAGACCAAUACAACUAUACAAGGCCACCAUGUUGCAUACCCAAGGCUGUAGAGAAUCGAUAGAAACCAGGACUGGAAUGUGUUCUUAAACAUUGUUUUCCCAAGCUUGUACAUCUGCCUUGUUAUAGCAUGCUAGUAGUACACAUGGGGAAAGGAAAGUAAAGGUAAGUAAAUACCUCAGUUAAUAGUAGUGGUCUUCCUGAACAAUGUCACACUGAACAUCAGAUUUAUACCAAUCUUGGAGGCAGAUCAAGGCUUCGGCAGUCUUGUUGCUCAGUCUACUUCUAUAAUCUCUUACCACACGAUGUCCAAUACUAAAAGCUGAUUCAGAUGGUAUGUUACUUGCCCAAGAUUCGAUCGUUAGUAUCCGCAUACCUAUUUCAAUCUCGUUUACCGGCAAGUCUCUUUACUCGUUCCGUAAUACAAGAUCCCGCAACUUACACUAAGUCACAUUGCUUGCAAGGCUUGUGUGUGAUGUUGUAUUACCGAGUGGGCCCCGAGAUACCUCUCCGUCACACGGAGUGACAAAUCCCAGUCUUGAUCCAUACUAACUCAACUAACACCUUCGGAGAUGCCUGUAGAGCAUCUUUAUAGUCACCCAGUUACGUUGCGACGUUUGAUACACACAAAGUAUUCCUCCGGUGUCAGUGAGUUAUAUGAUCUCAUGGUCAUAGGAACAAAUACUUGACACGCAGAAAACAGUAGCAACAAAAUGACACGAUCAACAUGCUACAUCUAUUAGUUUGGCUCUAGUCCAUCACGUGAUUCUCCUAAUGACGUGAUCCAGUUAUCAAGCAACAACACCUUGUUCAUAAUCAGAAGACACUGACUAUCUUUGAUCAACUGGCUAGCCAACUAGAGGCUUGCUAGGGACAGUGUUUUGUCUAUGUAUCCACACAUGUAAAUGAGUCUUCAUUCAAUACAAUUAUAGCAUGGAUAAUAAACGAUUAUCUUGAUACAGGAAUUAUAAUAAUAACUAUAUUUAUUAUUGCCUCUAGGGCAUAAUUCCAACAGUCUCCCACUUGCACUAGAGUCAAUAAUCUAGCCCUCACAUCAUCAUGUGAAUUACAUUGUAAUAAAUCUAACACCCAUACAGUUCUGGUGUUGAUCAUGCUUUGGCCGUGGAAGAGGUUUAGUCAACGGGUCUGCUACAUUCAGAUCCGUGUGCACUUUGCAUAUAUUUACGUCCUCCCCUUCGACGUAGUCGCGGAUGAGGUUAAAGCGUCGUUUGAUGUGUCUGGACUUCUUGUGAAACCAUGGUUCCUUUGCUAAGGCAAUGGCACCCGUGUUGUCACAGAACAAGGUUAUUGGAUUCAGUGCGCUUGGCACCACUCCAAGAUCCGUCAUGAACUGCUUCAUCCAGACACCCUCCUUAGCCGCCUCCGAGGCAGCCAUGUACUCCGCUUCACAUGUAGAAUCUGCUACGACGCUUUGCUUGGAACUGCACCAGCUUACCGCACCCUCAUUAAGAAUAAAUACGUAUCCGGUUUGCGACUUAGAGUCGUCCGGAUCUGUGUCAAAGCUUGCAUCGACGUAACCUUUUACGGCGAGCUCUUCGUCACCUCCAUAUACGAGAAACAUAUCCUUAGUCCUUUUCAGGUACUUCAGGAUAUUCUUGACCGCCGUCCAGUGAUCCACUCCUGGAUUACUCUGGAACCUACCUGCCAUACUUAUGGCCAGGCUAACAUCCGGUCUAGUGCACAACAUUGCAUACAUGAUAUAACCUAUGGCUGAAGCAUAGGGGACGGAGCGCAUAUGCUCUCUAUCUUCAUCAGUUGUUGGGCACUGAGUCUUACUCAAUCUCGUACCUUGUAAAACUGGCAAGAACCCCUUCUUGGACUGUUCCAUUUUGAACCUCUUCAAAACUUUAUCAAGGUAUGUGCUUUGUGAAAGUCCUAUCAGGCGUUUUGAUCUAUCCCUAUAGAUCUUAAUGCCUAGAAUGUAAGCAGCUUCUCCUAGGUCCUUCAUAGAGAAACUUUUAUUUAAGUAAUCCUUUAUGCUCUCCAAAAACUCUACGUUAUUUCCAAUCAGCAAUAUGUCAUCCACAUAUAAUAUUAGAAACGCCACAGAGCUCCCACUCACUUUCUUGUAAAUACAAGAUUCUCCAACCACUUGUAUACACCCAAAUGCUUUGAUCACCUCAUCAAAGCGUUUGUUCCAACUCCGAGAUGCUUGCACCAGUCCAUAAAUGGAUCGCUGGAGCUUGCACACCUUGUUAGCAUUCUUAGGAUCGACAAAACCUUCGGGUUGCAUCAUAUACAAUUCUUCCUCAAGGAAACCGUUAAGGAACGCCGUUUUGACAUCCAUCUGCCAGAUUUCAUAAUUGAAAAAUGCAGCUAUUGCUAACAUGAUUCUAACGGACUUAAGCAUCGCUACGGGUGAGAAUGUCUCAUCGUAGUCAACUCCUUGAACUUGUGAAAAACCCUUUGCCACAAGUCGAGCUUUAUAAACGGUCACAUUGCCGUCAGCGUCCGUCUUCCUCUUAAAGAUCCAUUUGUUCUGAAUAGCCUUGCGGCCCUCAGGCAGUACCUCCAAAGUCCACACUUUGUUCUCAUACAUGGAUCCUAUCUUGGACUUCAUGGCUUCUAGCCAUUCGUUGGAAUCCGGGCCCACCAUUGCUUCUUCAUAAUUUGCAGGUUCAUUGUUGUCAAACAACAUGAUUGAUAAGACGGGAUUACCGUACCACUCUGGAGCAGCACGUGGUCUCGUCGACCUGCAUGGUUCAACAGAAACUUGAACUGGAGUUUCAUGAUCACCAUCAUUAACUUCCUCCUCAGUCGGCGUCGCAACGACAGAGGUUUCCCCUUGCCCUGCGCCACCAUCCAGAGGGAUGAGAGGUUCGACAACCUCGUCAAGUUCUAUCUUCCUCCCAUUCAAUUCUCUCGAGAGAAACUCCUUCUCGAGAAAAGCUCCAUUUUUAGCAACAAACACUUUGCCCUCGGAUUUGAGAUAGAAGGUGUACCCAACUGUCUCUUUUGGGUAACCUAUGAAGAUGCACUUUUCCGCUUUGGGUUCCAGCUUUUUAGGCUUAAGCUUUUUGACAUAAGCAUCACAUCCCCAAACUUUAAGAAACGACAACUUUGGCCUUUUGCCAUACCACAGUUCGUAUGGUGUCGUCUCAACGGAUUUUGAUGGUGCCCUAUUUAAAGUGAAUGCAGCUGUUUCUAAUGCAUAACCCCAAAACGAUAAUGGCAAAUCGGUAAGAGACAUCAUAGAUCGCACCAUCUCUAAUAAAGUACGAUUACGACGUUGGGACACACCAUUACGCUGUGGUGUUCCAGGCGGUGUCAACUGUGAAACAAUUCCACAUUGUCUUAAGUGAGCACCAAACUCGAAACUCAGAUAUUCACCCCCACGAUCAGACCGUAGGAACUUGAUCUUCUUGUUAUGAUGAUUUUCAACUUCACUCUGAAAUUGCUUGAACUUUUCAAAUGUUUCAGACUUGUGCUUCAUUAAGUAGACAUAACCAUAUCUACUCAAAUCGUCAGUGAAGGUGGGAAAAUAACGAUAUCCGCCGCGUGCCUCUACGCUCAUCGGACCACACACAUCGGUAUGUAUGAUUUCCAACAAGUCAGUUGCACGCUCCAUUGUUCCGGAGAACGGAGUUUUAGUCAUCUUGCCCAUGAGGCAUGGUUCGCACGUGUCAAGUGAAUCAAAGUCAAGUGACUCCAAAAGUCCAUCGGCAUGGAGUUUCUUCAUGCGCUUUACACCAAUAUGACCUAAGCGGCAGUACCACAAAAAUAUAGCGCUAUCAUUGUUAACUCUAACUCUUUUGGUCUCAAUGUUAUAUAUGUGUGUAUCGCUAUCAAGAUUCAAUAUGAACAAUCCUCUCACAUUGGGUGCAUGACCAUAAAAGAUGUUACUCAUAGCAAUAGAACAACCAUUAUUCUCUGACUUAAAAGAGUAACCGUCUCGCAAUAAACAAGAUCCGGAUAUAAUGUUCAUGCUCAACGCAGGCACUAAAUAACAAUGAUUCAAGUUCAUAACUAAUCCUGAUGGUAACUGAAGUGAAACUGUGCCGACGGCGAUUGCAUCAACAUUGGAACCAUUUCCUACGCGCAUCGUCACUUCAUCUUUCGCCAGCCUUCGUCUAUUCCGCAGUUCCUGUUUCGAGUUGCAAAUAUGAGCAACAGCACCGGUAUCGAAUACCUAGGAACUACUACGAGAGCCGGUUAAGUACACAUCAAUAACAUGUAUAUCAAAUAUACCUGAUUUUCUUUGGCCGCCUUCUUAUCUGCCAGAUACUUGGGGCAAUUGCGCUUCCAGUGACCCAUACCCUUGCAAUAGUAACACUCUGUUUCAGGCUUAGGUCCAGCUUUGGGUUUCUUCGUCGGAUUGGCAACAGGCUUGCCGCUCUUCUUUGAAUUACCCUUCUUGCCUUUGCCGUUUCUCUUGAAACUAGUGGUUUUAUUCACCAUCAACACUUGAUGCUCUUUACAGAGUUCAGACUCUGCGACUUUCAGCAUCGCAAACAAUUCGUCGGGAGACUUGUUCAUCCCUUGCAUGUUGUAGUUCAACACAAAGCCUUUAUAGCUUGGCGGCAGUGAUUGAAGGAUUCUGUCAGUGAUAGCCUCUUGCGGGAGUUCAAUCCCCAGCUCAGCUAGGCGGUUUGAGUACCCAGACAUUUUGAGCACAUGUUCACUGACAGACGAGUUCUCCUCCAUCUUGCAAGCAUAGAAUUUAUCGAAGGUCUCAUACCUCCCGAUCCGGGCGUUCUUCUGAAAGAUAAACCUCAACUCCUGGAACAUCUCAAAUGCUCCAUGACGCUCAAUCGACGUUGAAGUCCCGGUUCUAAGCCAUACAAGACUGCACAUUGAACUACGGAGUAGUCCUCCUUACGUGCUAACCAAGCGUUCUUAACAUCCUGAUCAGCCAUAGUGGGUGGUUCAUCUCCUAGCGCAGCAUUAAGGACAUAAUCCUUCUUCCCAGCUUGUAAGAUUAGCUUAAGAUUACGAGCCCAGUCUACAAAGUUUCUUCCAUCAUCUUUCAACUUAGCUUUCUCUAGGAACGUAUUAAAAUUCAGGGUGACUGUCGCGUGAGCCAUGAUCUACAACACAAAUAAUUCAAAGUGGACUUAGACUAUGUUCAAGAUAAUCAGAGUUUAACUUAAAUCAAAUUAUUCGCUAAACUCCCACUCAAAAAGUACAUCUCUCUAGUCAUUUGAGUGGUUCAUGAUCCACUUACACUAGCUCAAGUCCGAUCAUCACGUGAGUUGAGUAUAGUUUCAGUGGUAAGCAUCCCUAUGCUAAUCAUAUCAUCUAUACGAUUCAUGAUCGACCUUUCGGUCUCAUGUGUUCCGAGGCCAUGUCUGCACAUGCUAGGCUCGUCAAGCUUAACCCGAGUGUUCCGCGUGCGCAACUGUUUUGCACCCGUUGUAUGUGAACGUUGAGUCUAUCACACCCGAUCAUCAUGUGGUGUCUCGAAACGACGAACUGUAGCAACGGUGCACAGUCGGGGAGAACACAAUUUCGUCUUGAAAUUUUAGUGAGAGAUCACCUCAUAAUGCUACCGUCGUUCUAAGCAAAAUAAGGUGCAUAAAAGGAUUAACAUCACAUGCAAUUCAUAAGUGACAUGAUAUGGCCAUCAUCACGUGCUCCUUGAUCUCCAUCAUCAAAGCACCGACACGAUCUUCUUGUCACCGGCGCCACACCGUGAUCUCCAUCAACGUGUCGCCAUCGGGGUUGUCGUGCUACUCAUGCUAUUACUACUAAAGCUACAUCCUAGCAAAAUAGUAAACGCAUCUGCAAGCACAAACAUUAGUAUAAAGACAACCCUAUGGCUCCUGCCGAUUGCCGUACCAUCGACCUGCAAGUCGAUAUUAUCUAUUACAACAUGAUCAUCUCAUACAUCCAAUAUAUCACAUCACAUCGUUGGCCAUAUCACAUCACAACCAUACCCUGCAAAAACAAGUUAGACGUCCUCUAAUUUUGUUGUUGCAUGUUUUACGUGGUGACCAUGGGUAUCUAGUAGGAUCGCAUCUUACUUACGUAAACACCACAACGGAGAUAUAUGAGUUGCUAUUUAACCUCAUCCAAGGACCUCCUCGGUCAAAUCCGAUUCAACUAAAGUUGGAGAAACCGACACUUGCCAGUCAUCUUUGAGCAACGGGGUUACUCAUAGCGAUGAAACCAGUCUCUCGUAAGCGUAUGAGUAAUGUCGGUCCAAGCCGCUUCAAUCCAACAAUACCGCGGAAUCAAGAAAAGACUAAGGAGGGCAGAAAAACGCACAUCACCGCCCACAAAAAACUUUUGUGUUCUACUCGAGAAGACAUCUACGCAUGAACCUAGCUCAUGAUGCCACUGUUGGGUAACGUCGCAUGGGAAACAAAAAUUUUCCUACACGCACGAAGACCUAUCAUGGUGAUGUCCAUCUACGAGAGGGGAUGAGUGAUCUACGUACCCUUGUAGACCGUACAACAGAAGCGUUAGUGAACUCGGUUGAUGUAGUGGAACGUCCUCACGUCCCUCGAUCCGCCCCGCGAACUAUCCCGCUAUCAGUCCCACGAUCUAGUGCCGAACGGACGGCACCUCCGCGUUCAGCACACGUACAGCUCGACGAUGAUCUCGGCCUUCUUGAUCCAGCAAGAGAGACGGAGAGGUAGAAGAGUUCUCCGGCAGCGUGACGGUGCUCCGGAGGUUGGUGAUGACCUUGUCUCAGCAGGGCUCCGCCCGAGCUCCGCAGAAACGCGAUCUAGAGGAAAAACCGUGGAGGUAUGUGGUCGGGCUGCCGUGGAAAAGUCGUCUCAAAUCAGCCCUAAAACAUCCGUAUAUAUAGGUGGGAGCGGCCCAAGGGGGUCGGCCGAGCCAAGGGGGGAAGGUCUCCCCGCCCCCCAAACCGAGUUGGACUUGGUUUGGUGAGCGGGAGUCCUUCCUUCCCUUCCCACCUCCUCCUUUUUUUUCUUUCUCUUUGAUUUUUCUUCUAAUGCGCAUAGGGCCCUUUUGGGCUGUCCCACCAGCCCACUAAGGGCUGGUGCGCCACCCUCAAGGCCUAUGGGCUUCCCCGGGGGGGUUGACCCCCCCCCCCCCCGGUGAACUCCCGGAACCCAUUUGUCAUUCCCGGUACAUUCCCGGUAACUCUGAAAACCUUCCGGUAAUCAAAUGAGGUCAUCCUAUAUAUCAAUCUUCGUUUCCGGACCAUUCCGGAAACCCUCGUGACGUCCGUGAUCUCAUCCAGGACUCCGAACAACAUUCGGUAACCAACCAUAUAACUCAAAUACGCAUAAAACAACGUCGAACCUUAAGUGUGCAGACCCUGCGGGUUCGAGAACUAUGUAGACAUGACCUGAGAGACUCCUCGGUCAAUAUCCAAUAGCGGGACCUGGAUGCCCAUAUUGGAUCCUACAUAUUCUAUGAAGAACUUAUCAUUUGAACCUCAGUGUCAAGGAUUCAUAUAAUCCCGUAUGUCAUUCCCUUUGUCCUUCGGUAUGUUACUUGCCCGAGAUUCGAUCGUUAGUAUCCGCAUACCUAUUUCAACCUCGUUUACUGGCAAGUCUCUUUACUCGUUCCGUAAUACAAGAUCCCGCAACUUACACUAAGUCACAUUGCUUGCAAGGCUUGUGUGUGAUGUUGUAUUACCGAGUGGGCCCCGAGAUACCUCUCCGUCACACGGAGUGACAAAUCCCAGUCUUGAUCCAUACUAACUCAACUAACACCUUCGGAGAUACCUGUAGAGCAUCUUUAUAGUCAUCCAAUUACGUUGCGACGUUUGAUACACACAAAGAAUUCCUCCGGUGUCAUUGAGUUAUAUGAUCUCAUGGUCAUAGGAAUAAAUACUUGACACGUAGAAAACAGUAGCAACAAAAUGACACGAUCAACAUGCUACGUCUAUUAGUUUGGGUCUAGUCCAUCACGUGAUUCUCCUAAUGACGUGAUCCAAUUAUCAAGCAACAACACCUUGUUCAUAAUUAGAAGACACUGACUAUCUUUGAUCAACUGGCUAGCCAACUAGAGGCUUGCUAGGGACAGUGUUUUGUCUAUGUAUCCACACAUGUAAAUGAGUCUUCAUUCAAUACAAUUAUAGCAUGGAUAAUAAACGAUUAUCUUGAUACAUGAAUUAUAAUAAUAACUAUAUUUAUUAUUGCCUCUAGGGCAUAAUUCCAACACCACGGAAGCUGGUACAGCAAGAACAUCACGAGCUAUACAAAAAGGAUGGGAUACUUUGAAGAAUGAAUAUACCACCAUUGAAGAAUGUUGAAAUUGUCUUUGCGAUCGAAUGUUUCUUCCUCCAAGUAUCUAUCAAGCUCAUUAGCAGAUUGGCGUUGCUUCUGGUGCAAGUGUUGAUACCAAUCUGCCAAAGGAUCAUUCUCUUCAAUCAUAACCUCAUCAUUUUUCUGUCCUUGAGUUGACUCACCCAGUGCAUCUGCCAUUUGUGAAGAAUAUUCUUCAAACAGGCUAUUAAGAGUGUUUUUCACAGCAUCCAAGUGUUUCUCUAUAUCUGAACCAAAGGCUUGUUUUAAACGAAACUCAACAAAGCUUAGUUUGAAUCGAGGAUCAAGGAUCACAACUAUACAAUUUGGCAAAUAUGACUCGAUCCAGUAUUUGUCAAACUUUGCGUGCAUCACAGCAACCAUUGCUCGAAUAACAUCAUUCUGUAACGAUGCUUCCUUCUGAAGUAACACUCUCACAUUCCAUAUUUGAUGGAAGUACAUAUUUGAGGUAGGAUAACUUGAACCAGAAAAUACUUCUGUGGCUGUGUGAAAGACUCUUAACAUAGCACAAACAAUUUGAGCUCUUUUCCACUCUUCCGAUGAUGGACAGAAUUUGUAAUCCUUGUCCCGUCCAACCAAAGUACGAAAUGCUCUUCGAAAUGGGAGAGAUGACUCUAACAUAAGAAAGGUGGAAUUCCAAUGCGUUGGCACAUUGAGUGAGGGGAGUUUGCAAGAAAUACCAACUUCUGCAAUUACUUCUUUGAACUUAUCCAACUGAGAGGGGGAACUCUUAACAUACUUUGUACUCUCUCUUAUAUUAUCUAUCACACCUUUCAUCACUGUCAACCCAUCUUGGACAAUCAAAUUUAGCACAUGGCAUGCAUAACGAAUGUGAAAUAAUUGACCUUCAAUAGGCAACAUAUGCUUGUUGUUCAUAUUUUUUCUUAGAUAGUCAACCAUUGUGCCAUUAACAACUGCAUUGUCUAAUGUUAUACUAAAGAGUUUGUCUUCAAUGUUCCAAUCUUGCAAACUCUUUAACAAUAAAUUAAACAUUGAUAUUCCAUUAUGUGGAGUCUCUACCAUAAAAACCUCAUGAUAUGUUUUCUCAAAGCCCAAUUUGUGACAAAAUGGCAAGUUAUGCAUAGAUAUGACAAAGUUUGAUUAGACGUCCACAAUCCACAUAUCAGCUGUUAAAGAGACUCUGCCUCUAUAUUUCUUGAAACCUUCACAGAAUUUUAAUCUCUCUUCAUUAAAUUGUUCCAUGCAAUCAUAUUUAACAGUACCUCUAGAAACCAUGCUAAACAAGGGAUUCAAGCUUUUCACAAAGUCUCGAAAGCCACUAUACUCAACAAAUGAGAAAGGCAACUCAUCCAUUACUGUAAUUCUAGCCAACAACUUUCUAGAUGCAAUUUGAUCAAAACUCCAUUGCUGAAGCAUAGAUCCAUGAGGAGAUGAAAUUGAGGACUUCAACUUGUCAACAACAAGGGACAGAUCUGACCUUUUUUCGCAAGCAGCCAAGUGCGUUUGUACACCAUUAGUACCCAUGCCACGUCCAGCUGGAAACACCUCAAGACAGUGGUUGCACUGAGCUUUGACAAGUAUGUUACGAUGAUAAAUAGGUUUGGCAUCCCUCCAAACAGCAGAAGUUAAUCUUCGUGUCUUGCGGACUAUUAAUUGGCAAGCAUAAAAAUAAAGUCAACUCACAAGAACAUUUUUAAAGUUGUAACUAUAUACAAGAGUAAUUUUGGAAGAGAAAAACGAAGCCAACUCACUACGUGGUACAAAUUAAGUAGUCGCCGGAGAAGGGGGUCCUAAUAUAGAUGGUGACAUCACGGACGAUUUUUUUGAGGCUACAACUCUUGCUAGAACCCCAAGGAAAGACCUCCGUGUGUUAGCCACCGGUGAUCCUACCAAUGGGGAUCUGGUCACUCUUUGGCCAUGUGUCAUAGAUGGAGAGUCUCGACUCUAGAUAACAAAAGAAAGAAAAUUAGAACAUGCUGUGAACUUAAAGUAAGGUACAGAAGCAUAUUUGUGUUACGAAGUGAGGUUUAAUAUAGAAGCAGACCUGUAGCUCCUUGGAUAAAUUCAGAACGAGCAUGUUUCCUCUUCCCCUGCAACCCCUCCUUUUAGUUUUUCCUCUUCUUAUCUUGCUUCUUCCUCUUCUCUUCCCUUUUCUCUUCCCUCUUCUCUUCCAGCCUUUUCCUUUUCGCCUUCUGCCUUUGCUUUUUCUUCUGCCUCUCUGAUUUGUAAUGCAAACGUUGGGGGUCAAAAUAUAUAUCAAAAAAUACAGUUAAUGUCACAGGAAAACACAUGAGGGCUAGGGGCUUACUUCUGUUGCUCUUCAAUAGCAUUCCACACAUGUUGUUCCUGGUCCAUGGCUUCCCACUUUUCAGUUUGCUUGUCGAUUGUCAAUGCCACUUGGUCAUCACCCGUGGUCACUUUAAUAAAAUCUGCAUUGAAAUGUCAUAUUAGAUGUUUCAGCAGAACAUAAGUUCAGAUUUGGUUCAUCUAACAUUCGAGGCUGGAACAUAAUACAUAUUCACAACAUGCCUUUCACAACAGAGAUCAAACUAAUCAUAAGCCUGCACCAAUGCCGAUUGAUGUGCAGAUGCAGAGCCAGUGUCUUCUUCUAAUCGUGCGCUCGUCCCUACCUUCUAACCAGAUCAGCAUGUUCUUCAGUCUCCCCUUGCUACAAAUAACAUCGCAGCAGCCAGGCCCGAGGGAUCCGCCGCCGUGGCUGGCUAGGGUUCGUCGUGGAGGAGAGGGUGUCUAUUGGGGAGGGGAGGGGAAGGUGAGGUCUGUGCAUACCUGGGAGCAGAAGAGGAGGAGGCGGGGGAGCAGGUGUCGGGAUUGGGGAAGGAGCAGCCACACAAGGCUCGGCUUGCUCCAUGAUGACCCCCUUUGACGGCGGCGGAGGAGGGGGAGCCGAAGAUGGCAUCGACGGGAUGAGGGAGAGAGCAGAGGACGCAUUCCCGCAAGGCUCUGCUCGAUCCCCAGCGAUUUCCUUGGACGGCGGUGGCGGCGGCGCCAUGGAUCGGGAGCGGGAUGUCUCGGCGCGGUUCGGUGGAGAUGGGGCGAACUAGGGCAUGGUUGCGAAAAUUAUGGACUGCCGAUGGGCUUUUCUGUGCUAUCUAUUUAUCCCAGUUAAUUUUUGUGGGUGUCCACAAAAGCCAUUUAAGAAUUUUUUGGUGGAUGGCAUAUGUGGAACUAGUGGGUCCCAGCGCCAUUUACAUCCUAACUUGUAUCCCCAACACACCAAAUACAAUGAUAAUUUGUAUAGGUGCACUAGUUCGGCGAAGAGAUGGUGAUACAAGAGUUUUUCUGUAAUAGGAACAAUAAAAAAGAUCAAGGUAGCAAGUAACAAAAAUGAGCAUAAACGGUAUUGUAAUGCUUGAAAAUGAGGCAUAGGGUCCAUACUUUGCGAGUGCAAUCUCUCAAAAAAGCUAAUAUAAUUGGAUCACAUAACAAUCCCUUAACGUGCGAUAAAGAAUCACACCAAAGUUCCUAUCUAGCGAAGAACAUAAGAAGAAAUUGGUUGUAGGGUACGAAACCACCUCAAAGUUAUUCUUUCCGAUCAAUCUUUCCAAGAGUACGUACUAAGAUAACAAGUUAUCCUUUCCAAUCGAUCUAUCCAAGAGAUCGUACUAAAAUAACACCAUUGAUACAUAUGAAUCAACCCUAAUGUCACAUAGAUACUCCAAUGUCACCUCAGGUAUCUGUGGGUUAAUUAUACGACAUGCAUCAAACAAUUUCAGGUUCUUCAUAUUCAAUCCAACACAAAGAACUUUAAGGAGCACCCUAAAAUUUCUAUCGGAGAACAUAGUAUGAAAACACCCAUUAACCCCUAUGCAUAGAUUACCCCAUUGUCACCUCGGGAAUCCGCGAGUUGAGUGUCAAAACAUAUAUGAAGUGAAUCACUUGAAUACCCAAUGUCACUACGGGUAUCCGCAUGCAAGACAUACAUCAUAUGCUCUCAAACCUGAAUAUUCAAUCCAACAUAACGAGAUCUUAAAGUGAAAGCCUCAAUUCAUCACAACAAUAGCAUGGGACAAACACCAUAUCACUACAGGAAUCUGCUUCUUUGUCAUCCGCCAUAGCAGACGACAAAGGACCAUUCCACGGACAGCAAAGACCUUUGUCGUACGCUGGUUGACGACAAAAUUUUCGGCACUAAAACUCACGGUAAAGACUUGCUUGGCCGUUUGUCGGGAGGCAGCGGACCGCAAAGAUCUUUGUCAUCGGUGUAUCUAGACCAGGCAACGGACACACACACACACACACACACUCACGCACCCCCCCCCACCACACACACGCACGCGCACACACACACACACAUUCAUGAAAAGCACAAUUUUUAAUCACCUAUCUCUAGAGAAGAUCGAACACAGCGAUGAUGAGGUUGGUGUUGCUAGACACCUAAGGAUUAAAAGUGGACAACAUAGAUGACUUUACUUCAUUAAAUGGAUAGAUCUAGUUGGGGAGGUAGAUAGGUCAUUUUAUUAAAUGGGUAGAUCUAGCUAGUUGACGAAGAAAAUGACUCUAACAUGUGGAGGGAGGAGAGAAAAGCGAGAAAAAAAGACAAAUAAAUACAUUAAUUAUGGUGAUGAUGUAGGGGGGUAAUGGAGAGAGAAGAGAUGUAGGAGAAGGAAGGGAGAACAAAUGUAGCUAGUAGUAAUGGGGAAGAAGAAAGUGAGGAAGAGAGGAUGGAGGAGGGAGGGGAUAGAAAAGGUGGCUAUUGCGCUUUAGCAGCAGCGAGUGUCAAGAACAUGCACUACUGCUAUCCACUUACUAGUAGCAUGUGUCAGGAAGGAGCUCUGCUACUAUAGGUGGGCUGGCGGGUACGAUGGGGACCACUUUAGCAGUAGUGCGUGGCUAGUUUUGGCGCUACGCACUAUCAGUAGUGCGUGUCCAGAAGACGCCAUGCUAGGCUGCUGCUGCUACAAGUAGUCUGGUGGGUUCGGUGGAGACCACUUUAGCAAUAGCGCAUGGCUAGUUUCGGAGCUACUGCUAAGGCAUUAUCAGUAGCGCGUGUCCAGAAGACGCCCUGCUACUACAAGUAGUCUGGUGGGUUCGGUGGAGACCACGGUAGUAGCGGCGCGUAUUGUUGGGCCACGCUACUGCUAAUGAUAUAGCAACAACGCGCGUUUUCCGCCCUCGCUACUGUAACUUAGCAGUAGUGCGGUCCUGUUAGCCACGCUACUCAUAAGCUUGAACCUAUAAUGUUUUUUCUAGUAGCAAGGGUUCGAAUCCUGGUGCUUGCAUUACUCCUGAAUUUAUUUCAGGAUUCCUGAUGAUACGCUUUGAGUGGGAGAAGAUGUUCCCACCAAUGACGAGGCGCCUAUGUUAACUUCGUAAAUUUCAAGAUGAUAUGCCAGCUCAACCUCUCGGCGGUGCUCAUAAAGGUAGAGUGUGUGUGUUCAUAGGGGAUGAGUGUAUGCGCGUGUAUAUGAAAGUUUGUGUGUGUACUAUGUUUGAAAAAAAUCAUUCUGGUUAAGCCAGCUUUAUUAAUUACUCUUACGUUUCAUAAUAUAAGAUUGUUUUUAACAUUAUAAUUGCAUUAGAGAUGUUUUUAUAUUAUGGGACGGAGGGGUAUGUCUUUCCAACGCAUGUGGUAUGUAUAUAUCGCUUGCUUUAACUAGUAACACUUUUGCAUGCCCUGACCUUUUUAUUAAUUUAUGAGAGAAUUGAGCACGUGGUUGCUGCGAGGUGAGAGAUGAUGAUGUGAUUCCUUGCUUGCUUACUGCACCUAGUGAGGGGAGAGAGAAGUAGAUGCCAAGUGACGGUACAUGAUUGUGGCAUAGACGAUAUGCUAUUCGAUUCGACUACUGGUGGUACACAUACAACAAACAGCAUAUUCUGAUUACAAACCCUCCGAUUCGAUUUGGUAAGGAAUGUGCUAGGUAGCUAAGCAUCUCUUGUAUUUUCCUGCGGAAACGAUAUAUAAUAGAGGACAAGAGAAAAAGAAAGGCAGAGGAUAAUUACCAUUACCUCCACUAGCUAGCUACAUUCCUUCCUAGGUUGGUUGAUUCAGGUUCAGAUAGCCUAAAAACCUGUUGAAUUUCCAACAACAGAUAAUGUCGCCAGGUCAACAACAAUAUAUCUAUACAGAAAAGCCACUAGCGCUAGCUAGUUUUCUUUCAGAUGUGCAUGUUUAGCAGGGCAAGCAAGGCACUUAAAGACCCGGCCCGGUUACUUGGACUGAACUUACUGAAGCUGUCGGUGGCGUUGCGUAGAUACGUUCCUAACUUGUUCCACCGAGAGAUGAAGAAAGGGGAUGUGUGGAUAUUCUGACGGCAUAUCAUCGUCGUGACUCGAUCGUCGCCAGCUAGCUGCCUAAUUAGUUUGCUUGGCCGUAACAGCAAGAUGACGCUGCGAUUCCAGCCUCCAUCAAACGCGCCAUGACUGCCCAACUGACCACUUAUAUGUAUGCAUAAGUACUACGCCGUACCCGUAGCAGCAGCAAGCUAAUCACCGCGUGUUAAUUACUGAAUGAACUAUUAUUGCGCUGUUCACCGCUACCCCUCCGCCCCGUCCCAUAAUAUAAAAACGUUUUUGAUAUAAUAUAAAAUUGUACUAAUCUUAAAACACUUAUUUUGGGACGAAGGGAGUAUGUACGAAUCUCAUCAAUUUAAUUUGUGUAUGCUUGACGGCUACCGGUCGGAUUGAGUGUCGCCAAAGUAUCAUGAGGAAGUGUUUGUGUGCAGACAGCAUACUACAUGGUCGAUGACGAUAGACCGCAUUAUUUUGCACGGAGCACUGUUGCUCAAAGAGAGGUCUCUAGCAGCUCAUGUUUUUCCACUCUCAGUGACAUGUCGAUGAAACGCACUGAAAUUCACUAAUUUCACUAAAUGCGGAAGUUUUUAUUUUUCCGGUCAAAAUAUUUCAGCAGUUUCAGCAGCACACAACAUCUUCAAUUCGGUUUCUUUUACAUCUUUUGGUUGAAUCCAGGCCAAAUGAAUGUCUAGGUCCUUUGGCCGAACCGAGAUCGCCCAAUGUUAUUGGUAAUCCCGCAAAAGAAAAAGAUGCAAGUUAAAUCUAUUUAACAGGACAACCCAUCGGUAGCAUGUACGAAAUAUUUUAUUUUGUUUUCACUAAGAAGGGCUUAGAAUUAAUUACAAGGGUCAAACCAAAAGCUCCUAAGUUUCGGCACAAUCGAGCUCACAUGCUUCGCCGCAGCGACAACCCACAAGGCAGCCUCAUAUUAGAGCAUCUACAACCGGACUAGCCAAAUCUGAUCCUUCUUAAAGCAUCUACAACCCGACUAGCCAAAUCCGAUCCGUCUUAGAGCAUCUACAACAGGACUAGCCAAAUUUGAUCCUUCUUAGAUCAUCUACAACCGGACUAGCCAAAUCUGAUCCGUCUUAGAGCAUCUACAACCGGACUAGCCAAAUUCGAUCCUUCUUAGAGCAUCUACAACCCGACUAGCCAAAUCCGACCCCUCAAACGUCCGAGAACGCGCACGACCGUGUCGGCAGACACUGACCGGUCACGCUUAAAAUAAUGCAUUUUAUAGCCGGACACCUUAAAUUAGAAAUCUCAAAUCCAUAUUAUUACAUGCAACAUAAACCUAAUACAAGCAGAGCUUGUCCAGUUCCGCCAUGCCCAUGUCAUACGGCUGGCUGUGCCCAUGUCAUAUCGGUGCCCCUCGUAAUAUCGGUCCAAUGAUCCCAGGGGAGGGUCUUGUGCCCAUGUCAUACGGCUCGCUGUGCCCCUCUUAAAACACAAUCGAGCAGUAUGAGAAAUCAUAUGUAUGCAAACUCUCAUCAUUGACUAAUCACAGAAGGGUAGCCCCCGGUACAUGACAAUGCCCGUGGAAGGGUAGCCCCCGACGCCCUCCACGAUGGUUCAUCGACACCCAAAGACGUCAUCGUAUCGGUGUCGACCGGGCCGACAGGGGUUUUCCCCGAUCCCAACCUGCACCUCGGACGCUCCGGAACCUGCCAUCAAACCGACCUUCACCCUGCACCAACACGGUCUUGAAGCCCCCGCACCAUCUCACCACGACAUCGUAAGGAGAGACCUGCACAGCGACGAAAAGAAGUCGGGACAAGGAGCAGCAACACCGUCCGCAUGUCGGAGGGCUCAACCUCCACCGUCAACGAUGGUAAAUGACCGAACGCAAUAGCCGGAGUAUACCAGGCCCUUGGGCCCACAGGCUCGGCCGGGACCCCCGCCCGUAAAGCUCCCGCCAUCGCGCUGCAACAGACACGUCGUCGACGACGCUGCCCCACGUCCAUGCUGCUCAUCCUCACCACCAUGUAGAACCACGCCGGGUUCCGGCCUGCUAGGACCUAGGUGGGACCCGUAGGGCCCAGAACUGGGCCGGGACGCGCCGCCGGCCAUCUAGCACCACCACGCCGCCCUAUCGCCAAGAACCAGCAGCGCCACCUCACCCGUCGCCCGGCCACACGGGUCGCCAAACCGCAGCCAGGCCGAGCUGCGGUCGCCGCUGCCCCUGCCCCGGGAAGGGGAACGCUCGCGCAGGAAAGGAGAACCCGCCACCGCGGACACCACCCGAGCCAGGGCCGGGGGCGCAGCCGACGACGACGGUGGGGGAGGAGGCAGGAGGGGGCGAUNAUAUAUAUAUCACGAGGAGCGCGUGUCAAUGUGUCAUCAAAGCAUAGAUGCUGCCUGCUUGCCUGCACCGACUCACUAUACUAGAAUAGUGUGUUACUAUUAAUAUAAAACCGUGCUUAAAGUGCUCGAUCGGAUUAAAGAGAUAGAUGUCCAUCUGAUCUGUAACUAACAAAGAGUCCGAAACUUUUUUGCUUUGGAAGCGGCAGGUCACCGUCAGUCCUUGUACAUCAAUCAAUAGUUUAGGAAUCAGUUUAAUCAUUCAUAAAAAUUGAUCAUGCAGUACUACUACUAGUGCUACGUAUUGAUGAGCUGGAGAUGGUCCAUAUUUUUGCUGGAUCUCCCGGCAGCUCGUCUCUUUUGUCCACACUCCCUGACACGACUCUCUUAACUCUUAACUGAGACAGCUAGCAUGUAGGAGAUGGAAAAAAAUAUAACAAGAAAUGGGAAGCAACGUGUGUCCUAGUCUGCAAUUAGUUUACUACUCCGUCAGUGGAAGGAUUCAAACGAUUGACUAAUAAGGGUGUGGCACAUGACUAACUGACGGUGCUUGAACAGGUCGCCGUAAGUAUAUAUUAAUACCCUCCUCCGCAAGGAAUUACGAUUUUUGCUGGUAAUUAAGAGUGAACUUAAGACAGUCGUUUGUUCUACGGUAAUUCAAUUGGUAUGGAGGCGUGCACAUCCAUCCUUGGUUGUCUUGAUCAUAAUGAAAGGGAUAACUAAACGUGCACCCAUGAUCCAUGCAUGGUAUGUAUUAAACUUUUUCCCCUGGGCAUCCUUUUUAGAAAAGAAGGAUGACCCCCGACCUAUGCAUCUGGAAGAUGCAUGCAGCCAUAUUAUUUAUUAUUUUCGAGGAUCUUACAAAGCAGUACAACAAUAUGCAUGAAUCUGUCAUCUUGGCAACAUCUGCCGCUACUCCUAUCCAUAUGAUGAAGAGGUGCAAACUGAACCAAGCAACGGACGGAGAUCCAUGCUACGAUAGAGCCGCACCACCGCCGUCGCCCACCACCCACAAGCGCCACCUAGCCCCAAGGUUCCCAAAGUGGCGCCUUCAAGAAGGGAACGACGCCGUGAGCGCCGCCGCCGCCCAACAAAGUUAAGGCUUUCGCCCGAAAGACCUAGGGAAAAGGGAAGUGAGGGGAUCAGUCCAUACCGACGCCUCCAAGGAGGGGAACGACGCCCUCAGGCGUCGCCGUCGACGCGGCCAUGGCCGACCAGGGAUUUCGGCCGAACUAGAUCCCCGCCACCAGCAGCGCCUCCUGUACAAAACCGGCAACCCAAGAAAGUACGGCCUGAUCAGGCUGGCCCGCAUACCGAAUAGGGGAGGCGUUAGAUCGCGCGCACCGGCCACCGCAAAAGCCGUCACCAGACACCAACGACCACCGGAUCCCGCCGCCCGCACGACCGAAACGUCAGAUCCACCGCCCACACGGCUGCUAGCCUGCCGUGCCUCGUCAAUGAAGCCAUCGUUCCAGAUCCGGGGCUCCCACGCAGAGGCAGGGCAGCCUAGGCCCCGCCGCCACCAUCCUUGGCGCCCCGGGCUUGCCCGGUGGCUGCCUCAGGCGGCGGCGAGGAAGGGAGGGGGAGGGGGAGGCGGCUAGGGUUGGGAGGGAAGGAGGGAGACGUGUGUGUCAAGGGAGGGGGCUUCCUGGGCAUCUAUUGAUCAAUCGUAAUCAAAUGAAACUAUAUACUAUGACACUUGUUAAACGGUAGGCAAGCGACGGUAGAGCAGAUUCAGAUUGAGUGAAGGGUGGAUCCAUCCUUGUUACAUGUGGCAGGCGCGCGGGCAAAGUUACGAGUGUGGUAGAGCAGAUUCAUGAGUUAAUUGAUUUGCCUCCAAGUGGAACCGUUAGACACACACAACACAAGAUAGACUAGAGAUGGUUGAGUUGCAACUUGGAGGCAGGCUGCACCCUGGGGAGGGACCGAGGGAGGAGAGAUCUACUGGCGAAUAGUUCUAAUAAUGUGUGGCAUAUACGGAGGGAUAUAUCGUCUGAUUCGUUAGGUACGACUGCAUAUUUGUUUAUCAUCUAGGUGUGGAUGCUAAGCUAAGCUAAGCAUCGGUUCUACUCCAUUCUGUAAGGAAGGAACGGACCAACUCCAAUUGACAGGGAAAAGAAAGAAAGACGGAUGCCAGCGGUUAGAAUAAUAAUGGGGCUGGAGCGCGUCGGUGUGGGUGUCGGUGUCGGUGUCGGUGUCGUCGGUGCAGUGCAAGUGCAAGUGCAAGUGCGAUUGGCUGGUGUCGGUGGCUGGCUCCAAGGUACACAGAGUUUCAGACACAAGCGAAGCGAGGAUGGAUAUUCUGACGGACGGGAUAUCCCAAUCAUCACCAUCAUCCUCACCGUCGUCCGAGUGUAGUACAACCAGCUUACACAAGCUUCUCAAGUUGGUCUCUACUUAACACGGAGACGGCUACUACAAAAGAUUAGUAAGCUAUAUAUGCGUCCGGGCAGCAGCACCGUCAUCGUUUGUGAUUUAAUUACUGUACAAGAGCAUCUACAACCGAACCUCUCAUAUUCGUCUUAACUAUUCGGACCUCUCAUAUUUGUCUUAGCUAUUCGGACAGACCGCUCAAUCACUCAUCGUUCACAGAAACUUGAUCCAGCCAAAUGCCUUAAACGGACCUUAAACAUUUGGGCUGAACGGCACCCAUUAUAUUCAGUCCAAAUAUGAAACGAAUAUGGGGGGUCUGAGAAUGUUGGCCUGACGAUGGGCCCCAUGCAAACUCAUCCGAAAAUCCGACGGUCUAGCACACGCAUCGACUGCCACCACAGUGUAAACGCCGUGUGGCGUCGCUCCGGCUCAUCACCUGAUGGGGUCACCUACUAAUGAUAGGGCCAUGGAUCGGCCAUCCAAGGCCCAUGUAGGGCACCACACUGUCAUUAAAGUCUCAAGGCUGCAGUUGCAUUCUGAUGCAUACUUGACGUUCACUCGGAUCUAUCAAAUCACUUAGGCGUCCCUUUGCCAAUCGGCCAAGCUUCGUCGCUUAAACAGAGGAACGCAUGGGCGGCGUGGGAGCUGCAACAUCCGAAAGACUUAACACCAUACAUGAAGUGUAAUCAUGGGUAAUGUUGCAUGUAAGUGUUGUAGUUAGGGUUGUGGUUUCUAAUAACACCCGUAGUUACUCUUAUUUUAAUGUCCUUGAAACGGCUCAUUAAUGGGGUGUGGCUCACUCUAUAUAAGCCAUCCCCGAGCUCUAUGACAGUAAUCAUACACCCCCAGAGAGACACAAGCCUCGGGGCACGAGACUACCUCGUCAAGAGGGGGCCCAACUCGCUAAAUCCGAGUGAUACGCGAGCGUCGUAGCUAGGCUUCACCCUUCGUUCGUACCCAUAGUAGUAGCUAGACUUCGCCCCUCGUUCGUACCCAUAGCACUCAAUGUCAUGUUGCCUCCACACCGCCCGAGACCAAAUUCAGCUAUUUAAGCCAACCGGUGUCCCCUAGCCCUAACACAUCCACCUCCUUCACUAGUGGAAAACGGGCCUUUGGCCGGGAUCAUUUAGUCCCGUCCUGCCUCUGGGCCGGGACUAAAGGCCCGGCCACGUCGCCCCAAUUCUCAAUGCCUCCCUCGAGGCUUUAGUCCCGGCCCGUAAGGAGCCUUUAGUCCCGGUUCGUGUCCCAAACCAGGACUAAAGGGCUACGCGGCGGGCAGUGAUGGUGGCAACCGUUCGUAUCCCCCUUUAGUCCCGGUUGGUGGUUCAACCCGGGACUAAAGCAAGAAAAAAUCAGACGUUCCUCAGCUUGGACAACAGGCCAAACAGUCGAUCCCACCCCUCAAGGUGUUAACCGAGAAUGUUCCCCCUCCGGUGCAGGGGCCAGCUUUUGAAAGAGCAAAGGAGUUGGCGGUUGAAUGUGGUAUCUUGGUUGAAGAUUUGCUGGCUUCCCAAGACGACAUGAUACCCAAGGCUGUGGUAGCCCCUAAGCCACAGUUUGUCAUGGGAGAGCCUUUGGUCAGCAAAGAUGAUCUCCCAACAAAUAUGCGUUACUUGCAUAAAUGGUACUUAAGUGAAUCAAAGAAUGGGAGAACGAUGAUCGUGCUGAGUGUCCCACGGGAGUACUACGGCCGCUCCGAAGAAAUCCAUAUCGACUUUGAUGAGCUCUUCCAGAUGUACAAUGGCGACGCCCUCGACAAAUCGCUUAUGAGUUGCUAUUGUCUGUAAGUUUUUCAACUCGUUGUCUACAUAUAACUUGUUUAGUUAUUUCAAUUCAUUGUCUAUAUAUAACUUGUACUCUAUUAUGCAAAAUGAAGAUUCUGAAUUGUAAAAGUAAGAGCAUCCUAAAUAUUGGGUUUAUUGACCCAGAUAAAAUACAUAUAGCGACGCUAACUGACAAACCCAAGGAGACGGAGGAAAACCUUCUAAGGUUUCUAAUAGAUCAAAAUUUAUGUGACCACAUACUGUUUCCAUACAACUUCAGGUGAGGGUCUUUACUCUGUUGUGUCCAUUCACUUAUAUGUGCAGCUUCCAUUGGAUUCUGUUGGACAUUCAAAUUGAUAAGGGAAGAGUUGAUGCCUUCGACCCAUUAUCGAGACCCUUGGAACAGUUCCAAAGCCUGCAGGACAUGCUCCAAGGGUAAUUUUAAUCAUUCUUGCGCUCCAUCAGUCUCUUUCGAUGAUUUUCUGAUAUAUCAAUUAAUGAAAAACUUAGCAAAUCAUUAUCCUUGUCGGGCAGGGUUUGGAAUCGGUUCAAGUGCGUGACUCCCAGUAACUUUCCUGAGAAGCUGACCUUUAGAGCGGUUCAGGUAAGUAGUAGUAUGAUAUACUUCUAUUAAUUUUCAAUACAUUUAUGAUGCUAGAUUAUUAUUUUGAUUAUAUAUAUUCUAUUCUCGUAAAGUGCGACCAGCAGCCACGGGGAACGCAUCUAUGCGGAUACUAUGUUUGCGAGACCAUUCGCACGUUUACCUCUGAGUUCAAGGAUCACAGAUUCGACGUAAGCAAUGAACAUUCACACCUCUAUUUUUACCUGUCAUUCUUUGUUAUCAUGAUUGAUAUUCAUAUUCAUCUCCUCUUCUUAUAUAGCACACGGCCAUGAGGACGAAGGUCCUACCAGAGCAACGCGCGAUUGUUGUUGCAGAGGAGCUUGCGGGAUUUCUGAGGACGGAAGUUAUAGAGCUCAAAGGACAAUUUUAAGCUAAGGGCCAUUACUGAUGUUCGUCCAUGUAAUCGAAUAGACGGGCUCUAGUCCCGAUAAUUCAGAUCUCCGUAUAAUUGUAUAUAUAUGCUCGCUUGUAAGAUAANUAUUAAAAUUAUAUGAAAACUAAUUUCCGAACACCAAACGAGGCAUCACGUUAAUCUCCCGAACACCUAAACCCUAAAACCCUAAAACCCAAAAAUAAUUUUAUUAAAAAAAAAACCCAAAAACCAGCAAAAUCUGAAAAUCUUUAGUCCCGGUCCGUGUAACGAACCGGGACUAAAGGGCCUGCCCCUGGGGCGCUACGAGGCGCCCACGUGGAGCAUCUUUAGUCCCGGCUUGUAAGAGGGCCGGGACGAAAGGUUAGGCCUUUAGUCCCGGCUUGUAAGAGGGCCGGGACAAAAGGUUAGGCCUUUAGUCCCGCCCCUUUAGUCCCAGUUGGUGAACCGGGACUAAAGCCCCUUACGGGCCGGGGCUAAAGGCCCCGUCCCCACUAGUGCUUCCUCUCUCCGCCGCCACUCGAACCCGCCCGCCUUCUCUCUCCCACUCCCCAACGCUCUCCGGCGUCGAUAUGGUCUGCCGUAGGAUGACCACACCUUAGCUAAGAUAUAACCCUACUCCCUUUCAUCAUUACCUGGUAUGACACAUCAGCAAAAUGUCUAUGAACCGGCGCUAAGAAACUUUCAUUGGCACAUGCCUAAGCCCAAGGCUAGUUGUAAUGGAAGUAUUAUUAAUGGUAUCAUGCAUGUCAACUAGGUUUAUUUGAUGACGUGGCACACCAUUAAAUGAGGAAAGAGAGAUGUGGUAUUAUGUUAUGAUAUCGUAUCAUAUUAAAUGUUGCACUGCUUUGUAUCAUUCAUGACAAUUAAUAAAACAAUAUAGUAGAUACUUCCUCCGUUUCAGUUUACAAGGCCUGCACGUGUAUCUAGGUCGUCAAUUUGACCAACUUAAUAAGAGACAUAUAUUAUAAAAAAUAUAUCAUUAGAAACUUUAGAUGUUCUAUUUUUUAAUGAUAUAAUUUUUAUGUUAAACAAUAUAUUUUAUAUAAGUCAAAUUGACGACCUAGAUACACGUGCACGUCUUAUAAACUGUGAUGGAGGAAGUAUUAACUUAUGAUAUUAUUACAUUAUAAAAAUAAUAUUAUACACUAGUAUCAUAUGGAUGAUAUGGUACUCUUCAUUACAGACAGCCUAAUGCUAGUGUAAACACUGGAAUUUUGCUGUUAAAACAUUGUAUUUUAAUGGACUGGCUCUUUCUUUUCAGGAAGGUUUAACAACGUUUGGCCUUGACGUUCGAUUUUCCUGCCUCCACCACUGGCGCUGCCGAGUAAUGCUACACCAACAAAGGCUUACGUAUAGAUUUAACGUACAAACUGAUGUGUAAGAUUGUGAUUGGUAAUUGAGGGAUGAGGGCCCCACCCCCACUGAAAAUCAGGGGGGGAGAGAAGAGUUAGCUUGAAAGGUUAAGUAAACCUUUGUAAGUUUUUGUAUGUCUAGCAUUAUAGGGCGCUGCCCAUGCGUGACGAAUUUUACCUUGAUUUUUUUUACAAGUGAGGUAGUAUAAUAAAAUUACAAGACAGAGAAAGACCGACGGUAUACGCUGCUAGCUGUGUGGUAAAACUCGUAGAAAAGCGCGUCCGUGGUGGUUCGCAUGUAUGCCAUACAUGGCGUGUGAACCUUUUUUGGGUUCAUUGGCGUUCGCUGGAUCACGCGUUUUCUCAACAUAUAAGUUUGAUUCAUGAUUCAAUCAAAUUAAUGUAUAUUCAAUCACACGGACCGUGCUUACAGUACAAGUGCAACACAAGGGAACGGAAAGGCCACCGAUCGACAAGGCAGACGCAGGCGAGUGGAAAAAUUCAGGCAUUCGGUGAUGGGCAACUCUCAGUGUUGAACGGCGUGAAAUACACACGUACACAACCGCACCAACCAACUGUACAUACAUACAUACAUACUUCCUUCGUUUGUACAUAUAAAUUUUCUAAGAGAUUUCACUAGAUAACUGCAUACAAAACAAAAUAGAUGAAUACACACUUUAAAAUAUGUCUAUAUGCAUUCGUAUAUAGUCCUUUAGUGGAACCUUCAGAAAAACUAAUAUUUAAAAACUGAGGGAGUAUAAUUUUCACAUGGUAUAAUAUGUGUCUUAUUCAUAUUAUUAUAAAAAAUUAAAAUACAAAUCAUGUAAGAAACGACAUGACAAAAAACUAAAAAGGUAGCAGAACAUCUCUGAACGUAAAAACUUUGAACCAAGAACCAAGCAUAUGUUUCAUCUUUCAGAUGUUAUCGAUGCACAACCCAAUCUGCAUCCGCUCCUGGGUUACCUCCCAAACUCCGCGUCGACGCUGAAGCAAACGCCAUGGCAACAGCCAAGCCCGAGAACAUGGGUCUACCACGAGGAUGCCGUCAUGGCCACGCCAUCCUUGCUUCACUAGACUGAUUUUUAAAUUCAUCCCCAAUCAUAGGACCGAUGACCUCGUCAAAGAAGGUUUUGAAGAAUAUUUAUCCAAGCCGUUUUUGUCGCCACCGAAACAAAGACCGUCUUCAUCGUUGCCGAAACAAAGACGAUGAACAACUUAAAAAAAAUCUAGACUGCAAAGACUAAAAACGAUGGACAAAUGUGUAUCCGGUGACAACGGGCGCUCGAAGAUUGUCUCUCUCUGGCAGCGGCUAGGGUUGCAGCCCCGGGAGGAAAACCGGCUGCGUGCUCAUUAUCUAUACAUGCAUACAUACAUACUCCCUUCAUUUCAUAUUAUAAGUCUUUUUAGAGAUUUCACUAAAAGACUACAUACGGAUGUAUAUAGACAUACUUUGGAAUGUAGAUUCACUCAUUUUGCUCCGUAUGUAGUCACCUAGUGAAAUCGUUUAAAAGACUUAUAUUUAGGAACGGAGGAAGUACAUACGGUAAAAAAAAAAGUGAGCACUGUACCCAAACCGAGCCCACAUGCACACAAAGUCACUUCUCAAGUUCGGAUCGAGUCUCCUACGUAGUUUCCAAAAAAAAAAAAAAAAAAAACUGUGCUAGCAUGUCUUGGCGUUGACGUGGCCUCUUGAUCCCACGUGGAGGCGCGUGAUUCAUAGUCAGACAGAUUUUGAUUGACGCCGGCCACGCCCGGCAAAGGCCAGGUCAGCGACACCCAUCUCAUCUUCUUCCUCCUCCUCCUCUGCCCUGCACCGGCGGCCGAUGCUAUUGCUAUAAGAAGGGGGGCAGGGCAGACUCUCCUCUCAUCACCACACAACACCACAGCAGAGCAGAGCAGAGCACCCUCCCUCACCUCCUUGAGCUUGAGGUGCGUUUGCUUAGUUGCGUUGCGUUGCGUUCGUCUCCCUCCUCUUCCCCCCCUGAUCCUCUGCUUCGGCCAGAUCUCCUCCAGAUUGAUUGCCAGGCCUCGACUGACAUUUCCAUUUUCGCAGAUCAGAUCAGAUCAGAUCAGAUCGGGUGCUAGGCUCGCUUUGCUUCGCUGCAAGAUCCAAUCCAUCCAUGGCUCCCUCACAGGAGGUCGUCGCCGCCGCCGCCGCCAAGGAGCCAUCCACCAACGGCAACGGCAACGGGACAACGGCGGCCCCGAAGACCACCAGCAAGGCCCCGGCGCUGAACGAGCGGAUCCUGUCGUCGAUCUCUCGCCGGUCGGUGGCCGCCCACCCGUGGCACGACCUUGAGAUCGGCCCCGAGGCGCCGACCAUCUUCAACUGCGUGAUCGAGAUCCCCAAGGGGAGCAAGGUCAAGUACGAGCUGGACAAGAAGACUGGGCUCAUCAAGGUGGACCGUGUGCUCUACUCCUCCGUCGUCUACCCGCACAACUACGGCUUCAUCCCGCGCACCCUCUGCGACGACUCCGACCCCAUCGACGUCCUCGUCAUCAUGCAGGAGCCCG
rnacentral:lncRNA from 1 species